CGGAGGUCGGCAUCGGAGAGUGUGGCGGCGGGGGUGAAGCAGCAGGGGGCGGAGGAAGGGAGAGGUGGUGGCGGCGGCGGUAGUGUAGAGAGAGAGAGUGACGUGAAGGUGAAGAGAGAGAGGAGAGAGAGAGAGAGAGAAAUGAUGGUUAUUUUUUAUAUUUUAAAGAGAGGGGUAUUUUUGACUUUUUACUAAAAAAUUGGCCAAUUUUUAAUGUUUUUAUUUCAUAGGCCAAAUUUUAAUUUUACUAUAUGAAAGUGGCCAUAUCUAUAUAUUAACUCUAAAUAUUGUGUGGGAUGAGUUUUUUUGUAAAUAUUGUGUGUGAAUGAGAGUAAAAGUAUAAAGAUAGUAUGUCAUAAAAUGGAAAGACACACUUAUUUUGGACGAACGAAAAUAACUGCUGAAUUGAAAUUUUAUUUAGAAAAGAAAAAAUCUAAAAGAACCCUUGAAAGCAUAUGAAAGCAGACUAAGGCCCGAGCCUCGUUAAAAUCUUUGCUCGUUAAAACCUCAAAGAGAGGAAAAAAAGUACUCGUCUAACAGAACGGGAAAAAAACCCAAAAAAAGAAGAAAAAAAAGGCCAACACAAAAUGAGCUUCGGACUAACCAUCACCCACCUCAUAUUCAUCCAACAAACUUGCAGCAAAAUCCCGCGAAACAUGGAACUCCGGACUAACCACUGCCCCAUGCUAAGCCGAUAAAUGCCGCAAGAGAACACCGCCACGAAACAGAACAAAAGGGAAAACACAUCACACAAAAAGCGUGAAAAAAUAACAAAAAUAUUAUAUUUAUCGUGUACGGAGGAGUACAAUUUAUUUUUUAGAUACAAAAUACGUAUAUGAUAGAUUGAGACAGUGUUAAAUUAUAGCUCAAACAUGCCUUACGUGAUUUUAUAAUUCCUACAAUUUAUUUUGAGAAUAUGCACUCAUAUAGUCAUAUUGAAGAUUGUAAUUCAAUAUUUGACAUUUCAUCUUAGAAACACAAAUUUUAGCCAUUUUUUGAAACUUCGAACUGUAUUGCCCUUAAUUUAGGCGGAUGGGAUCGGGUUGAACGCGUAGGUUGGGCACGGGUUUGGGGGCAUUAAUGUUAUAAUUUAUGCUAAAAGUACUGUUGUGCCCUAAAAAAUCACCUAUAAAAGAAAGCAAUAAGAACACAGAGAUUUACAUGGUUCGAUCAUAAAGAUCUACGUCCAUGGAGUUUUGGGGUGUUUUUCACUAUGUUUUGGGGAGAGAUUACAAUGUACAAUGAUGAAUCGGUUGGGACCGAUUGGGAUGCCUAAAUAAUGAAAAUACAUGCCUCUAUUUAUAGGCAAAAUACUAAGAAACCUACUUAGAAAAGGACUCUAUCUAGACUUAUAAUAGGACUCUAAUUCCUCAUAUUUAUCUUCUUCUUCUUCUUCUUCGUGUUGAUCUUCUCUUUAUUUGAGAGCUUUCGAGAUAAGGCCGAAUUCCAAGAAUAAGGGCUGCAUAUUUUUGUCCUCAUCAAGUACCAAAUUACUUAGAAUAAAAAAAAUAUACUAAGUAAUUUUCUACUUUUGGCACUAAUAUUUUCAUUUGUUUUAAGUAAUUUGGUACUUUUGGCACAAAUUAUAAUAUUAUAACGUAUUAAAUUACUUAGUAUUUUUUUUUUUUUGCUUUCUGGUAGUAUUUUGGCACAAAUUAUAACAUUAGUGUCAAAAGUAUCACCCAAAACCCGCGCGCCCAACCUGAUCCAAUUUGUCCAAAUUAAGGACAAUACAAUCCGAAAUUAUAAAAAUGAUCAAAUUUUAUGUUUUUAAGAUGAGUGAUCAAUUAUUGAAUUCCAUUGCUUAUAUGACUAUCUCAAAAGUUGGCUCAUUUAUUUUUAUAGAUACAAAAUGCAUAUGGUAGACUGAGACAUUGUUAAAUAAUGGCUCAAACAUGUACUACGAGAUUUUAUAAUUCAUUUUUUUUUAAAGUUGAAUACUUCCAAGAACAAAUUUACAUAUCAACACUAGAUAAUAUUAGAUGAUGUCGAACAGAUACCGAACUAACUCAAUCGGAAUCCACAUACAAAUGAGAUCUAUAAUACCUAAUCAACUAAAAACAACGAAUUAUGUGGUUCAACUCAAUUGAGCCUACGUCCACGGCAGAGUCACCACAAUUCACUAAUAUGGGAAAAGAUUUACAGUGUUCUUCACUAAAGAAGAUGACCAAGAAACUAAUCUAAACUCAGAUCUCUCAAGUUUCUUUUCUCUCUUCAGUUACAACUUACAAGUGAAAACCCUCAUCUAUCAAGAAUGAAAAUAGCAGCAGUAAUACAAUGAGAAAUACAAGAGAAAUAUAUACAAGAAAACACGCGAACCCUGCUGCAGAAGAAAAUUAGUUAUAACAACAUUCUUAUUAUUUGCAAGAAACCCCUCCAACUAUAACAUAUUUCCAAAGUAAUCCCUAACUUCUCUUGAACUGUCAUCACUGCUUAUCAACAAUCUCCACCUUGAUGAUAAUUCCACCAAACAAACCAGUGAAUACACAGUAUUUCCUCUGCAAUUUACCCCACUACAGGGCUUCAACACUGAUCUAAGCUUGAGACAACACAUUGACUAACUCCAGACAGUAUUUAAACUUGGAGCUAGGUAAUGCCUUAGUAGGCAUAUCAGCUGCAUUCUCAGCUCUGGACACCUUAACAAUCUUGAUUUCUCCUUUGUUAACAACGUCCCUGAUGAAAUGAUGUCUAACAUCCAUGUACUUCGACCUUUCAUGAAACACUUGGUGUUUCACUAGAUGAAUCACACCCUGAUUAUCACAAUUUGCUUCCACAACUUUCUGAUCUACUCCUAAUUCAACCAACAUCCCUUUCAGCCACAUAGCUUCCUUCACAGCUUCUGUAGCGGCCAUAUAUUCAGCCUCUGUGGUUGACAAAGCCACCACAGGUUGCAUAAGAGAUCUCCAGCUAAUAGCCGAUCCAUACAAAGUGAAAAUGUAGCCGGUUUGGGACUUCCUUGUGUCCAAGUUCGCUGCGAAAUCAGAAUCAACAUAACCUUUCAAUGGCUUUUCUUCAUAAUCAUCUAACCUUUUAAACAAUAUACCAAGACUCGAAGCUCCUUGAAGAUAUCUGAAAAUCCACUUCAAUGCCUCCCAGUGGUUUUUCCCUGGAUCAACCAUGUACCUACGUAUGACACUCAUUUCAUGAGAUAGAUCCGGUCUUGUACACACCAUAGUGUACAUACUACUCCCUACUACAUUAGCAUAAGGUAUUUUGAGCAUCUCUCUCAUUUCUUGUUCAGUUUUAGGCCUCUGUGACUCACUGAGCUUCAAAUGUUGACCACCAUUUUUGUUUUAUCCAUUCUGAACUUCUUCAAAAUCUUUGUAAUGUAAUCUCUUUGAAACAGCCAUAGCUCUCCUUUUUCAAUGUCUCUUAUUAUAUCCAUGCCAAGUAUCCUUCUGGCAUUCCCCAAUAUUUUCAUCUCAAACCUUGCUUUCAACUCCUCUUUCAGUGUGUUGAUUUCUUCCUUACUAUUGCUGGCUAUCAACAUAUCGUCAACAUAUAUACACCAACAAAUAUGAUACAACAUGACCUUAAUGUACUUUAACAUAUACACAAUUAUCAUGUAGUGAUUUUGUGUAUCCAAUCUUUAAGAUCUCCUCAUCAAACCUCUUGUACCACUGCCUAGAGCUCUGCUUUAAGCCAUGCAAUGACUUUUUAAGUAAACACACUUUAUCUGCAUUUUCUGAAGAUACAAAUCCCUCGGGCUGUGACAUGAAAAUAGUUUCUUCUAAGUUUCCAUGAAGGAAAGUUGUCUUAACAUCCAGCUAUUCCAAAAUCAUAUCUCUUUGAGUCACUAGUGAUAAUAACAUUCAAAUUGAAAAGGUUUUACAAAAGGGGAUAAAAUCCCAUUAUAAUCUACCCCUUCUCUUUGUGUAAAGCCUUUUGCAACUAGUCUUGCCUUAAACCUGACCUGCUCUUGAUUCCCAACAAUUUCAAUUUUCCUUUUGAAUAUCCAUUUACAACUUACUAGCUUAUGAUUCUUGCGCUUAUCCACAAGAAUCCAUGUCUUGUUUCUUUCUAGUAACUCAAGCUCUUCAUUCAUAGCUAAUAUCCAGUGUUCCUUAUAUGCACACUUCAUAGCUUCUGAAUAAUUUCUGGGCUUAUGAUAUUCAUUAUUUUCUGCUACUGCAAGAGCAUAUGCAGUGAGGUCAGCUUGACUAUACCUUGCUGGUGGAUGGAUUUCUCUCCUUAUUCUAUCAUUUGUCAACAUAUAGUUCCUCUGACCACCUUCUCCAUUUGACUCAUUUGUUUCUAAUGUAUCUGAUUCAGUGAAAUCAUUUUCUGAAUUUUCUGGAGUAACUGGUUGAAGUGUUGUGCAAUGCUCCACCUCAACUUAUGUACUGGUUGCAUUCCCAUUACUCUUAUCAGCUGCUGGACUUGUAUCAGCUUUGAAGAAAAGCAUUAUGUCUUUCCUUGAAUACAACAUCUCUACUAAUUAGGAUCUUGUUUUCACCAUUUUCAUAGCACCAUAGUCUGUAUCCCUUUGUUCCAUCUUCAUAACCAAACAUGAUGCAUCUAAUUGCCCUAGCAUCCAACUAAUCCUGCUUUAAGUGAACAUAUGCAGAACAUCCAAAGGGUUUAAGCCUUAAAUAGUUUGGAUCCCUUUCAUUCCACAACUGUUCUGGUAUCUUGAAGUUUACUGCUGAGCUUGGGCAUUUGUUGAUCAACUUAAUUUGCUUUUGUGGUGACAGCCUCUCCCCAAAAUUUCUUGUCUAAACCUGAGCUUAAGAGCAUGCACCUUACUCUCUCUAGUAAGGUUCUAUUAAUUCGUUCUAUUACACUGUUUUGUUGAGGUGUUCCUGGCACUGUCUUGUGCCUUUGAAUUCUUUUAUCCUUGCAGAAAUUACAGAAUUCUUUUUAUAGAAAUUCAUGUCUAUUGUCUGUCCUUAAACACUUUAAAGUACUGCUCUUCUUUACCUCAACCAUCUUACACCAGACUUUAGACUUUGUGAAAACAUCAUUCUUGUUUUUAAGAAUGUAGACCCAGAUUCUCCUCGAGUAAUCAUCCAUGAUGGAUAGAAAAUAUCUCCAUCCACCAAGACUUUCAGUCCUAGCAGGUCCCCAAAGAUCUGCAUGUGCAUAGUCCAAAGGAGAUUUUGACAAAUGCUUCUCCUCAUUAAAAAUAUUUUCUCUUGCUCUUGCCCAAUAUACACUGCUCAUAACUAUUUUUCUUUAGCUUUCCAGUGUACUCAAUCCUUUGCUGCUUCACAAGCUCAUUUAGACCUCUUUCUCCUACAUGGCCCAGUCUAGUAUGCCAUGUCAUGCAAUUUUCUUUGAUGAUGCUUCCACAUUCUCCUAUCAGGGUUUCAGCUAUUAGAUAGUACACAUUUACCUUUCUGAUACCUUUUAUCAAGACUUGAGAAUUCUUCAUCACAUAUAUGACUCCAUCCUUUGAUUGCCAACUGAAACCUUUUAGCUCCAAUGUUCCUAAGGAUAUCAAGUUUCUCUUAAGCUUUGGGUGAAUCUCACGUUAGAUAGGAUUUUUGUUGAGCCAUCAUGCAUCCACAAUCUGAUAUUUCCUAUACCCUUUAUAGGACACACUUGAUUAUUCCCUAGCAGAACAGAUCCCUCCCCUAGUAUUCUAAAAUUUGAGAACUAAUCUUUGUUUUGGACACAUAUGAAAACUACACCCCGAGUCUAAAAUCCAUUGAGGUUCAACUUGAUGAUUAACCACAUUUAACACCUCAGCAGUCUCAAAUUCUUCCUUUGAACUGGUGUUAUUUGUACUCGGUGCAUUUUCACUUUGCUUUCUUUUCCAUGAAUAACAAUCCUUCUUUAGAUGACCAAGUUUCUUACAGUAAUGGCACUUGCGAGUCUCUUUUCCAUCAAGAUCCUUCUCUUUGUUUGAACUGCUCUUUUUCCCUUCCUGUGAAGGUUUCUUGCUUUAUUCUUUUUGAACUUCUUGAUGUUGAGAGCCUCGUUUGCUACUUCUUGUUUGCCUUCAUUUACCUUCUGCAGUUCUUUAGCCUUGAGGGCAUUCUGCACUUCUUCCAUAGUGAUGCUAUUCUUUCUACCAAAUAGCAUUGCAUCUUUAAGAUGCGCAUAGCUCUUAGGUAAAACAUUUAACAACAAGAUAGCUUUAUCUUCAUCACCAAUCUUAACGUCUAUGUUUUCUAAAAAUCAUCUAUGAAUUUGUUAAACUCAUCUAACUGAUCCUCUAUGGCUCUAUCCUCAAUAAACCUAUAUGAAUAUAAGCGUUGUUUCAUAUAGAGGCGAUUAGCUAAGGAUUUUACCAUAUAUAGAGAAUCCAGUUUCUUCCAAACACUCGCUGCGGUCUCUUCUCUAGCAACCUCCUGCAUCACUUUAUCGGGAAGACAGAGGAUAAUAGCGCUGUGUGCCUUCUGCAUUUUCUCGUCUCGUUCCACCUUCUUGAUAUCCUCAAGAAAACCUCAUUCUCCAUUCAAUGCGCCUGCCAAUCCUUAUUGUACAAGCAUGGCAUGCAUCUUGAUCUUCCGAAGACUAUAGUCGUUAUUUCCAUUGAACUUUUCAGUAUCAAACUUCAUAGAACUCAUCAUGGUUUCCAUUCCCACCGGACAACGCCAAUAUAUUGAACAUAUACUGAACUAACUCAACCGGAAUCCACACAUAAAUGAGAUCUAUAAUACCUAAUCAACUAAGAACAACGAAUUACGUGGUUCAGCUCAAUUGAACCUACGUCCACGGCAGAGUCACCACAACUCACUAAUAUGAGAAAAGAUUUACAGUGUUCUUCACUCAAGAAGAUGAUCAAGAAACUAAUCUAAACUCAGAUCUCUCAAGUUUCUUUUCUCUCUUCAGUUACAAGUGAAAACCCUCAUCUAUCAAGAAUGAAAAUAACAGCAGCAAUACAAUGAGAAAUAUAAGAGAAAUAUAUACAAGAAAAACACGUGAACCCUACUGCAAAAGAAAAUUAGUUAUAACAACAUUCUUAUUAUUUGCAAGAAGCCCCUCCAGCUAUAGCAUAUUUCCAAAGUAAUCCCCAACUUCUCUUGAACUGUCAUCACUGCUUAUCAACAGAUGAGAUACUUACAAUAAGUAGAUGAGGUGACACUAUUAAGUUAUUACUAGUAUUCCACCCGUGUAUACGCACGGGAUAAAAUAUUGUAAUUUUUUUAUAAUGUUAAUUCAUUAUAUAAUAAUUAACAUUGUACUGUGUUAAAAUAAUAAAUAAAAAUUAUUGUGUUAUAUUGGAUAAAAACACAUAACUUUAAAUUAAGGGUAAAUGUCACUUUAUGUCCCAUCGUUUGGCCGAAUUAUCGAUUAUGUCCCAACUUUUUGAUAAUAUCUAAUUGGUACCUAACCUAUCAAUAUUUUUUUAAUUGUGUCCUGUAAAAAAAAUUCAGGCGGCCGGUAGAUGAUGUUGAAUGCCGGAAAUUUAUCAGGUGGAAUUUUAAAUACACUUGGAAUUUGCAACAUUAUUAUAAUUAACAAAAAAAAACAAAUAUCUAUGUGGCAACAACAUAUACAAAAUCCUAAAACUAAAACAGAAAUCGAUUAUAAAGUGGCGGUGGAGCUGUAUUUGCAAAAUAAACAGAAAUUGAAAAUCAAAACUGAAGAAGGAGAAAAAGAAGAAGAAGGGCCCGUUCAUGGUGAAAUCUUUUCAAAAUUUAAAUAGCAUAAUCAACUAGAUAUUCACAAGUCAAACCAUACAAUAUGGCUAAGCUCUUAUCUACAAGAAUCAAGAAACAAAAAUCAAGAUUUAGGGCGCCGUUAACAACCUACCAGAGAGGAAUGAAUCGCCGUCGCGCAAGGUGGAAAGAUGGGCGAAUCGAUUUCUUCGAAUUUCUUUGGGGAAAGCUUCGUCUGGGAAAGCUAAAGUCAUGCCCUCCUUCGAAUUCUCUCCCAAGUUCUUCAACCUUUGUUCUUUUGAAUGGAAGGAGUGAAAGAGUGCCUAAGCUUCGAAUUUCCUACUUGGAUUUGGGAUUUUUGUUCAAACCCUGAUGUGGCGUGGCUUUAGGUGCCACAUAGAUAUUUGUUAGUAUUAUUUUUUUAAGUAUAAUAAUGCUGCAAAUUCCAAGUGUAUUUAAAAUUCCACCUAAUAAAUUUCCGGCGUUCCACAUCAUCUUCCGGUCGCUUGAAAUUUUUAACGGGACACAAUUAAAAAAAUAUUGAUAGGUUGGGUACCAAUUAGAUAUUAUCAAAAAGUUGGGACAUAAUCGAUAGUUCAGCCAAACGAUGGGACAUAAUGUGACAUUUACCCUUAAAUUAAUUAAAGGAAUUAAUUUUUCUAAUUGUACUAUUUGAAAUAGGGGUGCUACAAUAAUAAUAAUAAUAAUAAUAAUAAUAAUAAUAAUAAUAAUAAUAAUAAUAAUAAAACCGACAAUUGUAAAAUUGAAUAAAGCAUAAUAAUACAAAUUAGUAAAUCUAUAAGUUUUGAAAAACUUCUUUGUAGACAACAAUCAUUCUACUUGAUAUGCUAUUAUUAUCUUUAUCACAUGCUAAAAUCUUCAAGUCAUGCACGACUUCUUACUCUUUUAAAACAACAACGUAAAAUUGACCAUAAGAAAGAAUAUUAAAGCACAUACCUCCACUGCUCCACAUUCAAACAUUUUUGGAUAUGAUGUAAUGCAAUAAAUUUUGGAUAUAUGGAAUAUUAUAUAUUAUAUAGAUUGAUAGUGGAAAAAAAUAUUAUAAUUAGUAUUGAAAACGGUGAAAAUAUAUUUUUUUUUUCAUCAUUUUCACAUGUUUAUUAUGAUAUAAACUUUCUUCGUGAGGGUGGGAUAUUUUCUCCGAUUAAGGUGGAAUAUUUUCUGUUUUUUCAUCAUUUCAUUUUUAGAAAUUAAUUUUAGUAAAUAAUAUUAAAUACUCAAUCAUUAACUAUAUUAUCAAUUGCCUCUAAAAAAUUAUAUUAUUGAUUGAUUGUUUAUCUUUGAUUGCAUUUUUAAUGGUAUUAUUAAUAUCUCCAUAAAUUAAGUUAAUUAGGUAGCAUGAUUAGUUCAAUUGACAAAUUUUUAAAAAUAAUACCUUUAACUUUCCCAAUUUUCACUAUUCCUUUACUGAAAAUUAUAUAUAUGUAUAUGCUACAAUUUAAUUGUUGGUAUUUUUACAUCCAGUAGUAGUUAAUAACAUAAGUAGAGAUGUCAAAAAAGCCCGAAACCGACGGGUCGACCCGAAUAGACUGAUAAAAAAGGUGGGUUAGGGCUAGAAAUUUUUAGCCCGAAAAAAAUUUAGCCCGAAUGGCCCGAACCGAAAAUAGCCCGAGCCCGAUAGGGUUGGCCCGAAAACCGAGUGGGUUGGCCCGAUUAAUCGAACACUUUCUUAAUAAUUGAUUUCUAAACUCUAAUACUUUACUUUUUAAUUUGAUAAUAACAUUUUGAUGCUUGUAUAAUAUGUUUUGAUUUUUUCUAACGAUUAAUAAUAAAUAUUUAUGAUAUAAAAGUCAAGGAAAGAUAGUAAUUAAUGUUAUAUCUAUAUACAAUUUUUAUCAGAAACAAAGUUAAAUUAGAUAUUAUGUAAAUUUACAUUAAAAUAACACUAAUUUUUGUAUCUAAAAUAAGGCGAAAUAUUUUGAUUUAAAAAGCACGACAUACUUUUAUUACAAUAAUAUGAUUAUCCAUAUAAAAAAAUUAUACAUAUAAAAAAAUCAUAAAUUUAGGGGCCCGAACGGGCUAGCCCGAGACCGAGUGGGUUAGGGUUAGGGUCGAAAAAUUUUAGUCUGAAAAAUAAAAAAACCGACUACCCGAACCAAAUAACCCGAACCGAAUGGGUUGGCCCGAACCGUGGGUUGGCCCGAUUGACAUCCCUAUGAUGCGAUUUUCAUAUAGAGAGCGUUUACUUUGGUUGUAAGAUAUUUUUUCUUAAUUUUUUUUUUAUCAUAGGUUUACUAGAGGUGAAAAUAUUGAAAAUUGUUGAAACAUAUUUUUACAAUAGUAUAUAAAUAUAAUAUUAUCCAAUAUUAGAGAGAAAAUGAGUGAAAAAAGCUGCUCGAGAAAAUAUUCCACCUUCAUCGGAGAAAAUAUCCCACACUCCACGGAGAAAGUUUCUAUUAUAGUAAACGUGUGAAAAUGAUGAAAAAAUAAACGUGCAUCAGAGUUUAUAAUUCUCAUACACACGAUAGUUUUUGCUAGACGAACUAAAGCGUUGGGCUGCUCAUUUACGAACACAAUCAUACACUGAAAUAAACAUAAAUUGAAAGCUAAUUAUGCUCAGAACAUUAGCAGGAAUGCAGCUUAAAGACAGAACAAACACAACUAAACAAAUGAUGCGAAUAAGCAAAAUAGGAAUAGACAGAUAUAAUAGUCGAGAAAAAGGCAAAACAAAUGCCGACUCCCUUUCUAACAAGCUGGCUUAUCGAUUAUAAUAACCUCUGCAGUUGGGGAGGAUCUGGGCAUGCUUCGCACCUUCUCUUCUAUCGUUAUGAAACGCUCGCGAUUAUCAGAAGCUCCAAACGGUGAAAGACGAAACACAAGUUUGUCGAGCGAGGGAGCAUUUUGCAAGAUAAAUUCAAUAAAUGGAAGUAUAAAGGGGUCUUCCUCAGGCCAAAUAAUCUGCACUGUAUUUAGAUGGAACACUGAGGGAUAGGGGAAUGUCGUCUCAACGAUGGGAUAAAAUUCCUGCAAAAUCUAUGAAACAAAUGAAUUUAGUACUCUCCACCCUGAAAAUUGAAUUAAAUGACAAACGAAAAGCAAAAGUAACAUGUAUAUAUAUAUAUAUAUCAAUUAUGGAGAUGAACUAUAACACUCACUCCACAUAAGUGGAGAAAAGAGAAAUUAAUCAACCUGGUGUUGAGAGAACGUUAAUAUCUUCAGCUUAGGAAACAUCUCAAGAAGUUCAAAAAGCUCUAGAAGAUCAAGACGACCUCGAGCGUUCAUUGCCUGGUGUUGUAGAAACUCAGCAUUUGGAAAUUGAAGAACCAUAUCUUCCUUCUUCAUGGCGAGAAGCAACUGCAGACACAAUAUGCAAGUUAAAUUGCAAUUUGACUUUUAAAUUGUCUACUAUUAAUCAUGCCAUAAGUCAAUAAAGGGAAUAAGAAAUCAAACCUUAACGUCCAACUCAGAUAAUUCAACCUUCUUAACAUGGCAGAUGCUUCGAAGAAGGUGAUAGAACGUUACAAGAGGCGGAUCAUACGCGUUGCAAAAUUGAUUGAAAGAAGCAUGAGUCAAAGAUGGGACAUCAAACAAACAACUACCACCAUUAACAACAUUUGCAUUAAGUUGUAGAGUCAAGAGAUUAGGAGCCCGAAUUCUCAGCAUUGCCAUUAUGUCAACAUCAACCCGCAUACCACUGUUCUUGAUUAUGAGCUUCUUCAAACUAGUAGAUCGGAUAUUGAAGUCCUCAACAAUUUUAUCAAUAAACAAUAUCAUCGUUUCCAAGCAAGGUGCACCCAGGAGAAGUUUGUUAAAGACAUCAUCACACGAGGUAUUUAAAACUUCAAGAUGUAAACUCUUGAGUUGAUUCCACUGCACACUCCCCUCAAUCACCAACAAACAACAACCAAGGUGUAAUUCUGUAACGGACGAGCAUGAAUACAAACGCUGAGGUGGGCAGUAAUGGACAUUGGUAGGAGGUCCAAAAUCUAUGUAUAGCUCUUCCACUUGUUUUGCAACCGCAAAAAGCAGCCACGAAUCAACAUCACUAUUAGGAGGCCUCCUCCAAUGCUUAUUGCGUAAUGAGUAGUAGAAGCUGACGAUCUUCUCACCUCUCCAUUUCGCAAGAACUGCACGAAUGAAAUGUCGAUCUACACCUACAAAUUUCAGGCGGGGCACGGUGGUCCAAAGAUCUCUCCAACGUUCGGAGAGUACUGUUGUCCUAACAACAUACUGUGUUUCCAACAGUGAAAGAAUCAUGAGGAUUAAGGAGUCGGGUAACGCACUUAGUCGAUCACGGUGAUCAUAAGACUGCCAGGAAUCCAUUACUUGUUUAACUCUGGACUCAAAUUUAACUCAAAAAGACCUACUUUCUUAGAUGUGAUUUCAACUGGGAAAGUAAUGUAUUGAGAGAUAGCAGCGCACAACAAUGAGAGUGGUGGCUGUGGCUGAUGAGUGAUCACCAGAAGAGACUUACAUCUUACCCUAGAACAAGCACGAAACCAUUUGGAUAAAUAAUCAGACAGAAAAACAAAAUUAGAAGAUGCAAGAUGCACAUUCUUUCAAAUUUAUAACUAAAUAGUAAAAUAUUAACUCAUUCUUCUAGCUGAUGGAUUAACUUUCUUCGAACAUUUCCUUCUUUUCUACCCAAAGAAAGUCACUACGCUUAAAAUGUCAAAACUGAACAACAACAUUUCAAUACAAAACAAAUAAAUACCGAAAUACACAAAAAUAAUACUAACUCGUAUAAGAAAACAGAGUUUGUCACACUUACCACUUGUUGAUCAAAAAGGCUCGAGGAAGUCAUUGAUUGAUUCAGUUCCAUUUCUCUGUGAGAAUUUCCGAGUAAAGUUGGAAAGUAAUGUAUUGAGAUGAGAGANAAAAUAUAAUUUCCAACUAUGUAUAAAGUGUAAUGAUCAUUAUAGUUAUUACUAAAUAAUUUUAAAUUAUUUAAUAAUGAAAAUUAAUAUACACAUUAUUAUUAUAGAGUAUUCCACAUAAUAAUGAAUAAAUAAAUAUUUUCAUACACAAGCAUAAAUAAAAAAGUUGUAAAAUUUUAACAAAAAGAAAGAAAAUAAAAUAUUUUUAAAUUGUAACCUAUUCAUUUAAAUUUUUUUUUUGAUGAUUUUUAUAUCAUAUCAAAAAUCUUGUUACGAACUUAAACUUUAGAUGCAUAUUGUAUAGUAUUUCUUAUAAAUCAAAUUUGAUGAAUGUUUAGAAUUAUAAAAAAAAAUAGUAAAAAAUUGAUGAGAGAAGAGAGAGAAAAAAUAGAGGGGAAAAUUAGAGAAAAAAACUCCUAUUUUUAUACUUACUCCGUCCACGAAGAUUGUGUUUAUUACUAUUUUCGUCCGUCCAUAAAGAUUAUGUGUUUUCUUUUUUUAGAAAUUCUCUUUAUAUUUUAAACCACAUUCACACUCAAUAUUUACAAAAUACUCAUCUUUUACUUUUAAAUUUUAGUGUAGCCAAUACUACCCUUUAACAUUAAAAUUAAAUCUUUCAACUUUUUUUUUUAUUAAAACUCGUGCCCUCCACUCCACCACAUAGUCUUUGUGGACGGAGGGAGUAUAUUAUAUAGAUUGUGGAAAAAUUGUUCAACCCCUUAAAUUGGUGAAAUUGAUGAUAAAAAAAAAGUUCAUGGAGUUGGAAAUUGGGAUAUAGUUCAUGAGUUUUGGCGUAAUAAACCCUUUAUUUAUUUAUUAAUCUUCAAAAAUAAGUAUGUACUCGUGUUUGAUUUUUUAUUACUACUAGCAGAAAGAACGUACGUUGUACGUGUAAUUAAUGUUAUUUUGAUUGAUAAUUUAUUAUUUAAAAAAUAUAUUAAUUCAUUACUUUUAUUAGAUAAUUUAUUGGAUAGAUAUAUAUAUUUAUAAAUCUUAUCAAUAGCUAUAGAUAUAAAAUAUUCUUUAUAGAUUUGAGUGACAAAUAAAUGUAUAUCAAAAUAGAUUUUAUAUUUUAUAAAGGGGUUAUUGCCAGAAAAUACAUAUACUUUGUCAAUUUUCUGGUUUAUAUCAUGACUUUAUAAUUUGGCCAGAAAAUACAUCAAUUUUCAAUUUAAUUGCAAUUAUAACAUGACUUUAUAGUCUGGCCAGAAAAUACACCAAAUUUCAAUUUAUUCUCAAUUAUAACAUGACCUUAUUUAGAUUAUUUUUCAUCAUAGAUGUAUUAAUAUUUAUUGUAUUUAUAUUAAAUUUUUAUGUAUAAAAUAUUUUUAAUUGAUUGAUUAAUUUUUAUAAAAAUUAAGUUAGANNNNNNNNNNNNNNNNNNNNNNNNNNNNNNNNNNNNNNNNNNNNNNNNNNNNNNNNNNNNNNNNNNNNNNNNNNNNNNNNNNNNNNNNNNNNNNNNNNNNNNNNNNNNNNNNNNNNNNNNNNNNNNNNNNNNNNNNNNNNNNNNNNNNNNNNNNNNNNNNNNNNNNNNNNNNNNNNNNNNNNNNNNNNNNNNNNNNNNNNNNNNNNNNNNNNNNNNNNNNNNNNNNNNNNNNNNNNNNNNNNNNNNNNNNNNNNNNNNNNNNNNNNNNNNNNNNNNNNNNNNNNNNNNNNNNNNNNNNNNNNNNNNNNNNNNNNNNNNNNNNNNNNNNNNNNNNNNNNNNNNNNNNNNNNNNNNNNNNNNNNNNNNNNNNNNNNNNNNNNNNNNNNNNNNNNNNNNNNNNNNNNNNNNNNNNNNNNNNNNNNNNNNNNNNNNNNNNNNNNNNNNNNNNNNNNNNNNNNNNNNNNNUAUAUAUUAUUUACAUAUAGAUGUAUAUUUAUCAAAUAUAUAUGUAUUUAUAUAUAGUAUAUUGUGAGAUGAAAAGAAAAUUAAAAAUAUUUAAUGUAUUAACCUUGAUAUUAUUAUACUAAAUUAAUUACAAGGUCAUGUUAUAAUUGAGAAUAAAUUGAAACUUGGUGUAUUUUUUGGCCAAACUAUAAAGUCAACAUAUAAUUGCCAUUAAAUUGAAAAUUGAUGUAUUUUCUGGCCAAAUUAUAAGGUCAUGAUAUAAACCAGAAAAUUGACAAAGUAUAUGUAUUUUCUGGCAAUAACCCAUUUUAUAAAUAUAAUAAUAAAUAAUAACAAGGGUAAAAUAGACAAUUCACAAAUUGUGUCUUAGAUUGUCUUAGGCUCUUUUUGUAUUAGUAUUAGGUUUUUUUUUAUCUUACCAUUGGUAAACAAACAACUCUUUCGUUAGUGUUGGGAAUGGUGAAAGUUGAAAAAUAAGAAUAAAUAAAAUACUAAUGUCCCUAAAUGAUUGGAAAGUUAUUUAGGGAACGUCUCAAGAAGAAAAUAUAAGAAAGUUAUUUGGGGGACAGGGGGAAUAUUUGCGUAUUACUACUUCAUAAACAUGGAUUAUCUUUGCACCCCAUUUCCCGGCUUGACAUUAAGAACUCCCAACACAUGACACAUCCAUUUCCAUUUUCCAACGACCGCUUGGUGUUUGGACUAAAAUUGGUUGAUGACUUCUCAACGUUUAUAAGCUGCUCGAAAGCUUGCUCAUACAAGUAAAUAACCUCCCGCGCCGCAACAACUUCUUCACCUAUCGCCUGAAAGAAAAUAAAGCUAUCAUCCGUGAAAAACAAGUGUGUGAUACUUAGCUGUCGAAAAUUAAUGGGAACACCUCUAAUCCGUGCAAUCUUUUCACAUAAAUUAAACAUAAAAGAAAAGUCUUGGGCGCAUAUCACAACAAAAAAAAGGCGAAAGGGGAUCUCCUUGAUGAAUACCGUGUGUGGGCAGGUACGAUUUCACCAUACAUCUUCUGUUAAGAAGGAAGGAAAAUGAUACAGACCUAACACAUCUCAUGAGAAGCAUGCACAAAGAGUCUGGAAACCCCAGUCUUCGCAACACCACCUCCACAUAAUCUCUCUCUACACGGUCAUAUGCUUUGCUCAUAUCCAACUUGAGCUCAGCGUACCUGUCUUUGCUUUUCUUCUUUGCUCUUAACCAGUGUUGGCACUCAAAGUUGAUCAAUGCAUCGUAAUUUGCCUCUACUCCUUAAUAAAGGCACUCUAUGAUUGGUCUAUAAGCUUUCCCAUAACCAUUCUCAUUCUGUCCACAAAAAACUUUAGAGACAGUUUUUAUACAUAGCGUUGCAUAUGCUUAGUGGCCGAAAUUUAGAAACUCUCUCGGGCUUUUGUCGGAUGCAUGUCAAAGAUAUAUUUGUAAACUGCAACAAUGGCUGGAAAAGGUGCGGGUAUGGCCACGUAUUCGUGCGUCGGUGUGUGGCUGCACGACCGUAUUGAGAUCAUCGCCAAUGACCAGGGAAACAGAACCACGUCGUCGUGUGUCGGCUUCACCGAUCCAGAGCGUCUCAUUGGUGACGCCGCGAAGAAUCAGGUUGCCAUGAACCCGAUCAACACAGUUUUUGGUACGAAUUACUUCCUACUUUGAUUGUGUAUAUGUGUUAGUUUGUCGAUCUGUUUUGUUUGUUUAGUACAUUAAGCAAUCCAGAUUUAAGUUAAGCUGUAUGUUAUUCGAUUCUAAGUAGAAUUAAUUAGCUUAAUAAGCAUGUUGUUGAGCAUGAAUUCGUCUUGAUUUUGUGUCUUCUAUCUUUAGAUCUGAUUCUCUCUGAGGCCGUUUCCAUCUUACGCAUUUACUGUGAUAGUAUUUAAUUAUUGUGAUUUUGUGUAGACUUUCUGGAUCAUGUUCUACUGCGCAACGAUGUGAUAUAGAUAAACUAGGUCUGUUUACAAUCUCCUAAUUUGAGAACUAGUCUUUUGUAAAAGCUUACUUGUGUGCUUGGAUGACGGCUUGUAGCUAUAUAUAGUUCAGGUUUUAAUAUGAUAUUUAUCAUAUCUAAUAAUGAUUCAUUCGUAUUUAUUUUGUUGGUACAAAUGAUUGUGGAAUAAAUACAGCAACAAAACAUUCACUUAUUCACUUUAUUACCAAACACACUUAAAACAUUAGUUUUUUAAGUUCUGUGACAAAAAGAAGUCGAUCAACUUAGUAGAAACAGAAGAAGUAAAAAAAAAACUAUCUCUUCAUAGCAUAGUAGUAAAAAAAAGGGUUAAUUAGCUCUAAAUCCUUUAACUAUAGUCAUUUUCCGUUUUUUCCCUCAAUCUUUGAACUUCCCACAAAAAACCCCAAACUUUCAAUUUUUCCUAAUUUUCCCAUGAUGGGUUUUCCGGUCAAGUUCGGCGUCGGAAUUUUCCUAUGUGGCGUUAUUCAUGCCAAAUCACCCUAUACGUGGCAAAUCACACCCACCCUCCCCCUCACAGGUCACUCUCUCUCUCUCUCUCUCGCUUCCCCAUCCCCUUUCCCCCCUCUCCCCCCCGUCUGGCUCUCCCCCUCUCUCUCACUGCCACAACCGCCCAGAUUCUCGGGACGGCGGUUUCUAGGAGAUGGCACAAGCCGAAGAGGGACGGUAAAGGCCCUCCUGAGAUCGAGAUCAGCGAUCUUAAUCACAGAUUAAUUCAAAUUUCAGCGUGGAUUUUAAUUUUUUUAAAUGACAUGGUACGAACCGACAUCGUUUUAUGCCAUGUCAUUUAAAAAAAAUAAAAUAUAAAUUACACCGUGGCAUUCGCAGCGAGCCACAUCACGUUUUUUAUGAUCGAAAAAUGGACGCUGGAUAUUUUUGAUACAAACGUAAUAGUUUGAGGUUUUAGACGAUAUUCAUAAUAGUUCAAGAUAUUUUUGAUAAAACGGAUAUAGUUCAGAGUUUAAUAUGAUAUUUAUCCAAAUUAGAAUGAUAUAUGAUGAAAAUAGAAAAUUAAAAUUGAAUUGUUUUUUAAAAAAUGAGUGUUGUUUAUAAGAUAAUAAAAUAAUAAGUUGGGGUAGAUAAACUUAUUUUUUUGAGGAAAUUUAAAAGAGAUUAUAAACUUUAAAUAAUUUAUAAAUUAUUUUAAAAAGCUUAUUGGAUCAGUCAAACACCCUCUAAUGGAGUUUGAAACUUUGAAAGAAUUUGAGUAGGAGCUUAACUUAAUCCAUUACUAUGAAAUUUCAAAUAAUCCAGAAAACAAAAAUUAAAUAAAUAGCUAAAAACCCCUUACGACGACGUAAUGAACUCAGUUCAUCUCCCCCGUUUGCAAAUGAACUCCUGCAAAACCCUAAUUCGCGCUACAUUAUCAUGCCUGGAUUUCCGAGCUCGAAUUCCAAAUUCAAGUAUGCUGCGCCAUUUUCCCGUCUCUCUUUCAUCUCGUCCAGGUGCAUAAUUAUUAAUACGGUUGACAUACUCAGUAUACAUCUGUGUUAUCACGCAUUGUCUAUUUGCUGUGAUAUGAAUAUCCAAUUGUUUUAUGAAAACAGGGUUGAGAAUCAAAUCCCACAAGCCCUUUUCGAUUUCUAGAAGCUUCGGUAGUCUGGCAACCGCUAUUACAUCAGAAAUUUCCGAUUGUACAGAGGGAAUUGUAGCUCAUAGUGUUAAUUUAGAAACGCCACAAGAUUUAUGUAAGGAUAGGGUGGAGGAACUAUUGUCUUCCAAGAACAAGGAUGAUGUUUCAAGCUUGAUGAAAAUGGAACGUCGUUUGGGAAAUGGUGAUGAGAGCAUGGUGCUGAGAGGAGGAAGCGUUGGUUUCCUUAUUUAGAUAAAUGUAAGCCGAGGAUGCGUAUCUGAGCAGCAGUGAGUUCUGGAAGCUGUUGCUCCUUACAUAAUGGACCCGAGGAAGGAAAAGUUUAGGAAUGCAGUGAAUAAUAGGAGCUAUUCUGUGUGUUUAGUGGUUGAGGGGUUGAGCGACUUUGGGAAUGUUUCGGCUGCUUUUCGGUCUGCUGAUGCUCUUGGAAUUCAGUCUGUCCAUGUCGUCUCAUUUGACAGCUCCAAAAGGUGCAUCACUGCCGGUUGCAAAUGUGUUUUGCAUAUUGGUUGAAUGGUAUAUCAAGUUAUUCAUGAUUUCAAGAAAAUAAUUAUGAAGUUGCAUCAUGUUAGAAGCUUUCUGAUUUUUAGUUUUAGUCAUGAAGUUGCAUCAUGUUGUGUCAUUUGACAGCUCCAAAAGUUGCAUCACUGCCUGUUGCAAAUGUGUUUUGCAUAUUGGUUGAAUAGUAUAUCAAGUUAUUCAUGAUUUCAAGAAAAUGAUUAUGAAGUUGCAUCGUGUUAGAAACUUUCUGAUUUUUAGUUUUAACUUGCUGGCUUUAGGCACAACUAUUUGUUGAUCAGCAUUUUAUUAUAGUCAGGCUGUGGAAUUUUAGCUAUGCUUCUAACUGAAAGACAGUGAGGAACUUAUCUGCUGAUUUGCAUUCACGAAUAAGUUUCUGGAUUUGGCGUUGUGGGGUUAACCAUCUCACUCUUCUACCUCCAAUAUAUAGGUACAGAGACAAUCGCCAUGUCAGCAUGGGAGCAGAGAAAUGGUUGGACAUUGAACUGUGGGACUCAAUCAGUGAGUGCUUUGAAGUUCUGAAAGCACGUGGCUAUAGAAUUGCCACAACUCACCUGGGGGUGGAUGCGGUAUCAACAAAUUUAUUUCCUUAUAUUUUUCAAUGAAGUGAUAAAUUUCGUUGAGAUCCACAGCUAAUGCAAUACAACAUUUGGUGCUUCUCUAGGUUUCUGUCUAUGAUGUAGACUGGUCUUGUCCUACUGCAAUAGUUGUUGGAAAUGAACUUAAGUACGUUUGCUCUAGCCUAUAUAUUCUUGGAUUUUUGUUCUAUAUCAGCGAGAUUUCUUUUCGGAGUCUUGGAAGAACAUAUCCAAAUGAAGUUGUCUAAGAUAAUAACUUCCUAUAUUGAGUCUCAUGGAGUGUAACUGAAUUCUUGUCUUGUUUGUUUUAAAAUCCAUGUCAUUAAUUUCCAUUUCGUUCUUUGGGUUGGAUCAUUAUGAAUUACUUGGUAAUGCUUUCACGUUCAGUGGGAUAAGUGAAGAGGCUCUUAAGCUUUCAGAUCUACACUGCUGUAUCCCGAUGAGAGGCAUGGUUGACUCAUUUAAUGUUUCAGUAGCUGCUGGACUUUUAAUGCACCAUGCUGUAUGUGACAGGACUUCCCGCAUGGUAAUUCCUUUUUUUUUUUCUCAUUAUUAUUAUUAUUAUUAUUAUUAUUAUUAUUAUUUUAAUAUUUUAUCACUGAAAUUACAUCCUUGAACAACUAAGCUACCUAUGUGCUUAGGUUAAGUAGAUGAUUUGUAGUGAAAAUCUCACAUUGUGGAUGUUUAAGAAAGAAAGUUGAGCUUAUGAUGACCUUUUGACAUAUCUUACGGAAGAUUCUGUUCUCCGGUGUUUCUAGAUUCCUUUCUUUAUACUCGAGGAGUAUUCCGUAUAACAGCUUUUAUCUAGAUAUGCUUGUACCAGACUUCAGCCUUGUACAGGAUCGGGAAUUUCAACUGGACGAUUAAGUGUAUCAAACUUGGGCUUCUUCCUCUUAUAUGAUUUCUGUGGUUUGACUUGAGAUUCUACAAUAACUGAAUCCUUAUUUAACAUGGCCAAGAUAUUUGGAAUCCUAGUCUUCUAGUACAAAAAUUAUGUUGGGUUUGAAUUUUCAACAAAUGAUGGAAUUUCAUGAGUGCUCAUGUUUCUGUAGUAACAUUUUCUGUAUUGAAUCUCUUUUCUUCAACAAUUGAUGCUUUAAGCUCUAAGAUGCACACUCGUGGAAAUUACUCUCAGUUUUCUUGUUGGCUAUAGGGUUGUCAUGGGGACUUAACAGAGGAUCAGCGCCAAAUUCUCCUGGCUGAGUUUUACCUCCGUCACAACAAAAACUCCACCAGAAUUGCCAAUGAAUACUCCAGGAGGAAAUUAGCUAUGCAAUCAAAACUCUGAAAGCACGACGUUUAACCUUGCAGAUCCGUAGUGGAGAAAUGUUGCAAAUCAUGAUGCAGAGUUCGAUAGGUACGGAACCCUUCUUUUGGCUUUCCAACUCUUGCGUAAUUGAAGCAACGCAUGGUGACAAGUUGGUAAGUUGUUACUCUCUCGAAUCGCAGGUAAUAACAUUGGAAAAACGGCAAGUUAAGAUUUUGGGCAAAGCACCAUAGUUGCCUUGGAAGGAUGAUGGCCACAUUGCCAGUUAUAUCAAUGCUGAAAGCCUCAAAACAGAAUUUUUGACAAGAAAAACAGAAUCUCAGCAACCUUAUGGACAUCAAAAAAAUCUGUUUUCUGCAGCAUCCUAGAGAAUUAAUUUUUGUAUUACACGUCCACUGAGGCACUGAGUAGCUUAUGAGAUUUCAUAUGAUAAUGAUGUGAGAUUUUGUAAAAAAAAUACUAUAUGUAGGUGUAUCUUAGUAAUUCUAUGUAUUUGAUAGACCUUGGCUGAUUAAGUUUAUCUUUAUUUCUUCUUAUCUUGUUAAGUCAUUUAUUAUGUUUGGGUCAAUAAUUAUUAUGAGUCCUUAAGCCCGUCCAGUAUGUUGCAUGGGCUUAGUAAGUUAGGGUUUCCUUUUCUAUUAUUUAUAGUGAGUAUCGUAGCAGUAGGGUUUAUGCUGAGAUUAAGUUUGUAAACAGCGUGUUUGCUGUAGGCCUCCGUUGUGGAGGAGUUCCUCUCGUUCAGUAAAUUAUAUUGUUAGCGUCAUCUCCACCUUUACUCUAUCAAUUGGUCCGACCUACCAUGGUUGCUACGACGCGCAGCACCGAGUCUCGACUGGAUUAUUUAGAGAAGGUGGUGUUAGAGUUGCAGACAUCGCUGACCUCCCUCACCAAAGCAGUCGACGCUAACCGUUCUGCCGUGGAAACUCAACUUGCAGCCAUCUUGGCCGCCGUCUCGUCCACUGGAAAACAACCCUUCGUUCCAGACGACCCCAGCGACUCUUCCACUGGGAAACAGCCGUUCGUUCCCGACAACACCAACCCCACCAUUAUUCCAAUUCAAAAAUCUGACUUACCCGGGUUCGAUGGAUCUGAUCCCGUGGGCUGGAUUGCUCGAGCCAACCAAUAUUUUCUCGUCCAUCGCAUUCCACCGGCCAUGAAGCUGCAGCUUGCUAUUAUCGGCAUGUCUGGCGCAGCUAUUUCCUGGUUACAACUACUCCUGCGUCGUAAUCCCAACCCGGCAUGGCCACAAUUCACCCAAGCCUUAUUGGCGCGUUUCGGCGAUGCCUCCACGCUCAACACCUACGAGGCCUUGUUUCUAUUACGUCAAACAGGAUCUCUGGAGGAUUACAUCGCUGCAUUCGAAAGCCGCGUGGCCCAGUUGCCUCCCCUUUCGGAUGACCAGUGCUUAGGAUAUUUCCUCGGUGGUCUCAAGCGUUCGGUGCAAGAGCAGAUACAGGACAACGCUCUAACUGACUACACCUCUGCGGUCAGCGCAGCGCGCCGUGUUGAACGUCCUAGUACCCCUACCGUAUUUUCCCACCGUGUUACCCCUGUCACAGCCGGCCAACCAACGGCCACCACUACCUACUCUUCCGACUCCACGGGUUCUGUCGCUUCACCACCUUUAAGCAAGGCCAAAAACUUUCGCCAACUGCCGCAAUCAGAGAUUCAGAAACAUCUUGCCGCUGGUACCUGCUUCCGUUGCGGUCUGACUUUCGGACCCCUUCACCGCUGCCCGCCUAAGACGUUGAACGUCCUUGUGUGUGAUGAAUUGGGGGAGCCCGAGUUCGAUGCACUACACCAGCAUGCGCCUGUUGAGGCAUCCUAUUUCCGGUCCAUGCUCCAGCCUUGAGGACAAGGCUGUUUUGCCCGGGGAGGCUAUUGAUAGACCUUGGCUGAUUAAGUUUAUCUUUAUUUCUUCUUAUCUUGUUAAGUCAUUUAUUAUGUUUGGGUCAAUAAUUAUUAUGAGUCCUUAAGCCCGUCCAGUAUGUUGCAUGGGCUUAGUAAGUUAGGGUUUCCUUUUCUAUUAUUUAUAGUGAGUAUCGUAGCAGUAGGGUUUAUGCUGAGAUUAAGUUUGUAAACAACGUGUUUGCUGUAGGCCUCCGUUGUGGAGGAGUUCCUCUCGUUCAGUAAAUUAUAUUGUUAGCGUCAUCUCCACCUUUACUCUAUCAGUAUUACUCCAUUUAAUUCCAAAAUUGGGAAAAAUAUUUACACAUCAUCUUUUCCAUUUAUAUUCUUCACUUCUUUGUCAAAAAGCAUUCAAAAAUCAAUUGUUAUUAACGUAUGACACCGUUUAUUUUUGAGAGUAUGUACACUCGUUUUUUAGUUGUGGUUUUGCAUUUUUAUAGAUAUUUUUUUUUUCUCUUCAUUGGAGAUGGAUUUUAUUUCAAUGUAACAAUUCUUCAACUUCACACACAUUUCAUAUGUUUCGUUUACUUAAGAAUUAUGAUCUGCUUCAAAUAAUUUGCUAGAGUGCAUGGACCCUCAACAUUUUACUGAUUUUUGACAUUAAAAUUGCAGCAAAAAAANUACAUUAUAAAGGAAAUAUGCUUUUAGAGACGAGUAAGAGAAUAACUAAAGCAUAUUGUGAGCAAUGAGCAUACUACAUCUCACAACAAAAGAAUCCAGUCACCAUAAAAAUUAUAUUCACUGAUUACACAACCCAAUAAAAUUUACAAGUAUCUAGAAAUUUGCCUACUCUAUUAAGGUAGUAGUAUCAGUCGUUUGAAUCUUGUCUUUGGAGUUUUGCGUGCUCAACCCUUCCCGCCUUCUCAAUUCUUGUGACUUAAUAAAUUCUUCGAUUUUCGCCUUCAACUCCACGUCGGGUAUUAACAUGUCCGCCGUGAGAUGAGAACGAUUAAAUGGAUCCGUCUGUAUUCCGAAAUCAAGAAUAAUUAAUUUCAAUUUUCCAAAACAAUACAAUGAAGAAUUAAUUAUUAACGGGCCCUUACACUAUCACUUAAAAGAUGCCUCUGGAUCACCGGUCUAUCGACGAUCACCCUUGAUGAUGGCAAAAUGACAGGAUCCUUCAUUAAAGUGUACUGCAACACCAAGAAACAAUAACAUGCUUACAAACAGUAGUAGAAGAAUGUACCGAGGAGACGAGAUGACAUUGUUCAAUUUUCCAAUGAACCAAUCCUUAUUGAGACCGAGACAUGCAAGAAAAUCAUCAUGUACCUGAAUUGGGUCGAGGAAUUCGUCAGGUACGUCUCCGAGAGCAGCCUCAGCAUCCCUGGCCUCUACAGCCGCAACUCUGGUUUUAGUGCCAAGCUCGACAAACUCAUGUAUGAUCCUAGCAUCUUCUCCGAUUUUCCUCAAGACAUCAGAUGCAGCAUCAAAUAACUGGCAGCGCCCACCACCAACCAGAAAACAAAAGUAAACAUAUAUAGAUAAGAAAAUAUAUAUAUUCUUACACUCAAUAUAAUCUCAUUGGGUAGAAUUUUUGUUCCUCAGCAAGUAUAAGGAAAAAACAGAAAAGGUACGUAGAUGAAUAAACCUGUUCAUUGUAUGAACGACCAUCCCUUGUGAUGGCUGCUGGGAAUAUAUUUUCCGUGUCUCCUCUAGCUAAGUUGACAUAUAUAGUGACAAUCUUCAAAACAGAGAAAAAGGAAUAUGGUACCAUCAGUCACAUGGUUCAGCUUUCUUACAACCAAUUCAAAAUCAAAAUCACCAAGAAAAAGCGACAAUGCAUAAGCACGAACAAAGUGGUUUUCAGUACCUGCUUUAGCAGCACUUUUGGUCGAAACUCAUACUUCUCAGGGUCCUUCAAGGUAAGAGAUUUUCUUUGCGGCCCCACAAGUUGUAACAAAAAGUAAUUCAGCAUACUGGCAACUCUCUCAACCUGGAAGACAAAACCCUGUUAGAAAAACUUAAUACGAACUCCUGAACUUGAUGAAUAAUCAGCCAAAAACACUAACCAUCUCCGGUAGCAGAAAAGGGGAUAUAAUCUGCUCUGAUGUAAAUGCUAGCAUGCUCACAUCUUCAUUUGCCAAUUUCAUAUCAAUCCUAAUAAUCUACAGAAAUGAAUGAACUAGGGUUUCAGUCAGUAUUCCAAACUAAAAUUUAAACCUAGAGAUAUGUGAAGUGCAAACUGACAUUCUCCUGAGAGUGGAAAAGUCGAGUUCUCUCCUGUCUCUCUUGGGCUGGUCUACUUUCCCACUCCGCAGUGUUAGACAUCUCAGCUUCUAGUCCUUUGAGUUCAAGAAUUUUGUUGAGACUUUCAUCCAACAAAUAGAUGCUAUCGUUGAUUAAAAAGUUCAAAAAGUUCAGAUAGACGCCCUUUUCCUCCUCCUUAGCUAUCUGGUACGGAAGAAAACAAUAUAUAAACAUAACGUUCCAUUGGAACAUAGAUCAAGGUAAGGAAAAAUAUAAUGGAUAGCUUUACCCUUCUCCAGACAUUUCGAUGACUAGGAACCUGCCAUAAGUACUCCAAGAGUUCGGCAAUGUUGUGACGUAUGUUGAAUUUGUCAUAGAACUGAGGAGGUGUCAAUAGGACUCAGUCAAGAAAAGCAUAAGUACAAGAUUGCGCACCAUCGAUAAGAAAUGAAAUGCCAAAUAAUAAUGAGGAGGAGGAGAACAUUAUAUGCGCUGAACAUGACAAUACUUAAAUGCUCAAAGUCCAUCUAACUUACUAAAAGUAGCAACUGUUAAACUAGCAGGUUUUCAAGGACAAAUUGAUACCAGAUCCUUACUAAUGUUUAGCAAUCAUAUCAGUGGAAAGCGAAGAGUCUACUUGAUAAAGCAUGCGUUAGUAAUCAAUAUGAGAAGUAGGAGUAUAGGACGAUAAAGGCAAUAAAACAGUAAGUUAACUAUCACAUGAAAAACUGGUUAUCUCUAAAUAAUAUUUGCAGUUCUCCACUAACAUGACAAUUCUUAGUAACAAUUACCUGAGUGUGGGAACCAGUGAAUUCAAUAUCAACAUAAAGCUUCAGAAGAUUCUUCACUAGAUACUCAAGAGAUAACUGAUGCCCUUCAAACAAAGUUUCAGUUGCCUUUGAUCCACUGUACACAAAGUUAGUGAGGAUCAAUAAUAAUGAAGCAAGAUGAAUUAAACUACACUGUGCACAAAACUUAUCAAACAUACCUUCUCCGGGGCAUCCAACAAUUAAGCACUUCAACCAUUUUUGACCUUAGAUAUGGAUUACGGAUGUACUCUGGACUGGCCAUGAACAUAAUGAUGAAGUUCAUGAAAUCGUCCUGUCAAGAUGUACGAAGAUACAACUAGCUCGGUUCCAAGCAUUCAAGAUGAUAAUAAAAUUAUAUGUAAAAUCAGAUAUCAACAUACCAGCAUAACCCCAUCUAGAGCUCUAGGAAUUCGAGAGGCAAAAAUUAGCAAUUCCAUGGUAUCUUCUACAAAGUGCUCAGGCAUACAAGCAAAUUCCUUCGGGCAUGUUGGCGAUAGAGGCAUUUUAAACCCACCAACUAGCCCAACCAACCAAAUUACCAUCAGGCGGUAAUAAGAUAAUGCGCGUUGAAGAAUAGUUCCAUCCUACAUAAUAGAAAUGCUCGAGCAUCUAUCAUCAUAGCACUAUGGGAAUUACAUUUCCAAUUAGAGAGAAUAGAAGGCAAUAUUUUUUAUACCCUUAGUAUUUGAGCUUCAUAGCAUAAUUUCUCCUGUGUGUAUGACUCAAUUUCCUUUUCCAGGCGAGAUAUGUCUUGCUGCAAUUGUGGAGAAGGUGCCUGCUCAUGCAUGGCUUUGAUUGAGGACAAAGCAUCUUCACAUCUAGAAAUAUCCUGAACAUAAAGUCGAAAUCAAAGCAUAUUGUCAGCCAAUGGUUUUGAUGAAUAACCUUAUAUAAUGUAUAUAAAUGUGAAUUUAAAUAUAUACAAACACUACAAAAAUAAGGCUACAGUUGAACAAAACAUGUCUGAAAAGUGAAAAUUGAUACAAAACAUGUCUUAUUUGAACAAAAGACCAAGUAUAACCUGAAGGAGGUGUUUGAAGUCUGAAAAUGCUUUUAGCAACCCCAAGUUGAGCACCCUGGCAGUCAUGAAGAAGCAUUCACAUAUGAAUGGGUAUUUGGUUUUUUCACUACUUAUGUUAACUGGUUUAUUAUUUUGGAGAGAAGGUGUGCUGCCACUAUUGCUGGAACUUGAGGCUUGAAAUAGUAACAUCCGGGUUAGUUCAUCACCAGCACUUGUCGAGGUAUCUACUUUAGCACUAUUGCCACCAAACCAUUGAGAUACUUCUUCCGAUGAUGCAUGCAAAGCAGUCAAUCCACUGAUACAAGUUUGUCAGCCGAAAUAAUAUGGGGAAGUUUUAGUAUCAAUUAAAGAAUGGGUGAAAAAAAGGUAAAAAGUAAUCCUCUACCUCAAUUCCAGACGGUUACAGUAGAAAACAUAUUUAGGAUCAAUUUUGUCUCUUUUACUCAAAUUAGCAUCCAAGAACGGCUCACAGAGACGAAGCAUAACUGCACUAAGAUUUACAAACAUGCCAGAGCUAGCACAAGACAAAGGAUCAACCUGUAACCAAAUCCAGUGGCAACCGCCGACAUUGUUUUCAGAUUAGCCUCUUAAGAUCACUUUAAAGGGGAAAAUGAAGGCUGAGUUUUCCUCCUAUGACUACGAAAAAUAUACCUGUAAAUGCCCCCUUGAAGAAUUUUUGUUGAUGACUUCUGCAAGGUACUCAAGAACAUUUUCGCGUGUGUUUGUAUUUUUUAGGAGGCACAUAAGAACUUCCGCCAACCCGUCAUACAAGCUGUUCAUAACCGUUUUGAUAGUUGUAAAGGACGAAAGAAGAUCAGCUGGGCGGCGAGUUGAGGCUUCAGAGAAGCAUUGUUGGCUGACAAUGUAAACCCAAACAUCCAUUAUUACAAGAAACACAAACUGAACUAAAAAGAUGUCGUAGUUUCUAGCUAAGCUUCAAUAAUGAUCAAACCAAAAAACAAAACCAUCAUACAUAUAUGUCGAGAUUUGACUAGUAGUAAAAAUGUACCAACAUUAUAAAUCUUGCAUUAACAGAAUUAACUCAGGCAAGCAAAACUGAGACAAAAAAUUCUAACUUUACACAACAGCCAUAAUGGUAUACGUCGAGAGUUAGCUGGUAGUAAAAUGCACCAACAUUAUAAAACCUGCAUUAACAUAACUAACUCAGGCAAGCAAAGUUGAGACAAGAAAAAUUCUAACUUUACCCUAUAUCGGGCUCGCUCUUGAAUAUAGCAUUAUCCGGCAAUGCACUAACAUGAAAAAACGGCCCCAAUAUACUCGUCAUCUCCAUGACCCUCCCGUUCAAAUACAAACUAUUCGGUAUCCACCACGGAUGAUUGACCAACGCCUUCGCCCCCACAGGAUAAUUCACCAGCAGCAGCAGUGCCCUUAAUGGCUGCUGAAAAUUCCCCAAAGCUGAAACCUUUAAAACACUCCCUCUCAAAUCCUCAUACAACUGUUUCAUAACAGGCUCCAUCGAUUCAUAAUCAGCAUCCCUAAAAAAUUCCUCAAGAAAACCCGGUGGAGACGAAGCUCCACUGCUACUCCCACCGAAACCAUCAAGAUUACCCCCAACCUCCGCGAAGAUCAAAGGCAACAGCGGCGUAACACUCGAUUUGUUCGCAUCAUAAUUCGGAAACAUAUCCGGAUUACCCAAAUGAAUCUUACAGUAGGUUACUGCCAAUUUUUUGGCUUGUUUCACUACCAAUUCCAUCUCCGACCUCACGUUCUUAUCCUUCAUCGACGCGAUUUUCUUCCCCUCCUCGUAAGCGCGGCGGUAGCUGUUGACCAGAUACUGGAAUGGCGGCUCGGCAGCGGGGAAGCUCCCGGAGAGCCGAUCGAUUAAGGCUCUCUCCAUCGAUUCUCGCGAAAAUUUGAGCUCCUUACCCUCAUUCAUGAUCUCCGUGGCUGUCCCAUGUAGAUAAACUACACGAGAAUCGUUCUCCAUUGAAUCCACGAGCGACACCAAAAAUAUUUUCCUGAAGAUUAUAUCCUCGAUUUCCACCGGUGUUUUCGAGGGUUUUGGCGUCGCCAUUGAUGGAAGAUUAGUGCAAUCCGAUCACCCGAAAUCUGAAACUGAACGAAAUUCUGAUUUGAUUUUGAAAUAAGGGUUUUUCAGGUGUAGAUCAAUAAGGGAAGAAAUUGAAAACGAUGGAUUGCGGUUGUCUAUUAAUAUUUCCUUCUUCCCAUUAAUAAUAUCUAAAACAUAAUUUUAUAGUCCUAUUAAUAAUAAUUUAAUUUAAAUUUUAGUGAGAUGAACGAAGUAUCCUACAUCCACAAAAAAUAAUUUUGUUUUGCCAUUUUGAUAUCUCCACAAAAAUUAAUUUUUUUUAUCACAUAAUGAGCCUUGUUCUCUACUCACAAUACAAUUAAUUCAUACAAAAUACUAAUUUUUUAAAUGGAACCGUUUCUUCACUCACAAUACAAUAACCAUUUUUAUUAAAAUACAUGUCAUCUCUUACUAGAACUAUUUACCAUGACUAUUUAAGGAGUAGGAAAAUAUCAUGUAAACAAAAGUUUUUUUUUAAAAGAGAUUAAAAUGCAUAUAAAUACAUGAACUUUAGUCUAAUAUUUAAAUUGCAAGCAAAAUUUCAAAUUUUUUUGUCCCACCUCACCUGACCUAAUUCUUUUCGACACGAUUAUUUAGGAGAAUAAGAUUGUAAUGUAAAAUAAAAUAAAGUAUGUAGGCUCAUACUUAUUGUAAUGUAACUAAAAAAAGACAUUGGCCAAAUUUUAUGGGACAGUCCCAAAUAAAAAUUAGGCCAAAUGAAAUGAGAUGAAGAAAGUAUAAUUUCUUUUUAUUUUAAUUUUUUCACGAUUUACUUUUUCGGCCAAAUUAAAGUUAACUUGGCACAAAUGUAACAGUCAAGAUAGUGCCGAAUAGUCAGCCUAAAAGAUAAAACGACACAAUUUCAAUAAGUAUAUACGAUAUCGUUUAAUAUAUACUCCAUAAAUUACAUCGUCGAUUAUGUUUCUAGAUUUGUUCUCAAUCCCUAAAAAGUUGUUUUUCUCUAUAUUUAUUUAUUUGUUUCACCACUUGUGAUCGACGAUUUUUGUAUUCUCUAAGGGCCUGUUUGAUAUGGGUUUAUAGGUAGGAUAAAUUAAAUUAAUACAGGUUAGUGUGAUGUUUGAUAUCAUGUUUUAUUAAUGAGGUCAACUUGUAACACCCUAAUCUAAAUAAAGUGUUAAAUAUGAAUUUAAAUAAUUUUUGACAGCGAAAAUAUCAUAAAAUAAAGAUUUGGAUUUAUUUUCAAAUAAAUAAAUUUUUAAAUAAAAUAUUUGAAAUAACUUAAAAAGAAGGCCAGCCAUGAUAGGAAGCUAAUAUGAUAACACUAAACUCGAUAAGUUACACCAAAAUCUCAAGAGUAGUUUGAGACUUCGAAAACUGUACAAAGCAAAAGGUUAGGUGUAACUACAACAUUAUAUUUUUCCAAAAAAUAUUUACUUGACGCGCUCAUUCGAUCCUCUACGCGUCUCCAACCUUAGUUACCUGAAAAUGUUAAAUAUGGGAUGAGCAUAUGAAAUAUACUCAGUGUGGGAACAUGCAAUAAUUGUCCACGUUAAUAAAAUGGUCAACACAUAAGCACUGCACUGUAAUACUGAUAACUGAAAUUCGCACGGUGGCAUACCAAGGACUUUAAAGUCCUGGACCCCAUUGAGCGGGCCCCUGGCCGAAUAGGUUGCACCUAACUGUAACAUGAAAUCGCAUUGUGGCAUACCAAGGACGGUGAAGUCCUGGACCCAUUGAGCGGCCCCUAGCGAUAUAACUGAAUUUAAACACAUAUGGCAAACACAUAAUAUUAAAAAUGGACAAAAUUAACCACCAUGUACUGAAAUAAAUCCACCCUGAAUUGAACUGAAAUAACUUGAUAGUAAUGAAAGUUCACGUUCCUAGUCGGCCGCACCUAGCUCUAAAUUCAAAUAGUAACAUAAGGGCCUAAUUGAACUUUACAAAAUACCUUAAUAUAACUAAACUUGAGAAAACUAUUUAUAAAAGUCUUUCAAUAAAAUUUGAACUGAAAAAAAAUGAUAAUUAAAUAAAUUAUAAUUGCUACUUAGAAGAGUAAUUAAAAUAAAAACCCAAUUGAUUAUUAUAAUUAAGGCCCAACCACUUAAUAAACUGAGCCCAAUUAAUUAAAACUAACCUAAGCCCAAGCCCCAAGCCCACUAUCAACCUCUAAUUUAAACUCACACCCAACUCCACUCCACACAUUCACACGCAGCUCACUCCCUCUCUCCCUUCCUCCCUCGGCCUUCUUCCUCUCGGCCUCUUGCCGCCGCACCUCCGGACGGCAGCGCCGUCAGCGCAGACCGGCGGCUCCGCCGCCUCUCCCUCUUCUUCCUAUCUCCCUCUUCCCUCACUCUCACUCCCUCUGUCCCUCUCCUCACCGCGUCUCCCCCUUCUCCGGCGACCCUCGCCGUCUGCCAGCACCUCCUCCUGGCCGUCAGCAGCGGCACCCUUGUCGCCGCCGUGUCGACAGCACAAGCCGGUCAGGCCGCCUUCUCCCUCUUCCUGAAAAGAGACGCACAGCCGAGACCAUAGCGCCGCCGCCCUGCUCCUUCCGCCACCACCCCCUGCUUCCUUCCGCCGGCCGCCAUGGCGCGCAGCGCCGGCGGUACUGCUGCUCAACCACCCCUCCCCCUGUUCUAAGCCACAACCCCUUUCCAGUUCAUUCUUUCUAUUUUCCUUUUCUUCUUGUAAGCAGUGAUAUGCAUGUUUGAAUUAGAAAAAAAUAAGAACUUUUGUGGGUGUUUGGUUUUGUGCAGAGAUGAACAACAGUAAAUGAAAUAACUUUGUAAAAUCAAUUAAAAUUUACCAGCUUGGAUUCUGUAAUGAGAGAUGGAAAUGGGUUUGUAUGCUGUAGGCGAAACAGACGAGGAAAAGGCGAAUUGGGGACGAUGAUUUGAGGUUUAAAUAGAGCUGCAAGAUUAAGUUUUUACCACAAAAAUGAAACGUGAGCUGCUUGUUCACGUAAGAAAAUUUGUGGAUGAUAAAGGAACCAAAAUUGUGGUUGAGAAAACUGGACGUGCUCCCCAAGCUGAAAAUGGAAAUGAGUGGGCUCUUAAUGUUGAAAGUAAAUUUUGAGAUAAGGCCCAAUAGAGAAAUUUGUAAUAUUCAAUUAUGGCCCAACUUUGAGCAUAAAAAUUUCAUUUGUUAAGUUAAUAAUCUGCAAUCUAAAAUUAUUUAUCUAACUAGGGGCGCGACUAUAUAAUUCACGAACUUGCUAUAUAAAUAUUCUUUUCAUGAUUUAAAAAUUAGUUAAAAUAUAAAUAAUGAAAUCAAACAAAUAUCCAGAUAAUCAAAUAAUUAAAUGGGUUUCGGGCUGUCACAACCCUACCCACUAAAAGAAAAUUUCGUCCUCGAAAUUUAACUUACUUGGUUCUAAGUGGGGAUAGCGAGCUAGGAUUUCUUCUUCACGUUCCCAAGUUGCUUCAUCAGGUCCGUGCCUAGUCCAUUGAAUUUUUACUAAGGGUAUUUCUUUACCCCGCAAAACCUUUACCUUCCGAUCCAGUAUGACAUUCGGCUCCUCUUCGUACGUGAGGUCCUUAUUGAUUUGGAGUUCUUCAUGAUGAAUGAUGUGACUAGGAUCGUGCAGAUAUUUUCGCAGCAUGGAGACGUGAAACACGUUAUGUACAGCCGACAAUUCUGGCGUUAAAGCUAAACGAUAGGCUACAUCUCCUAUGCGCUCUAGGAUUUCAAAAGGUCCAAUGAAUCGAGGUCUCAACUUUCCUUUCUUGCCGAAUCGUAGGACUCCUUUCAUUGGUGCCACUUUGAGAAACACCUUUUCGCCCACCUCAAAAUGUAACUCUUUUCGCCUGCGAUCAGCAUAUGAUUUCUGUCGAUCCUGAGCCAUUUUAAUCUUCUCUUUUAUUUUCCCGAUGACCUCAACCGUUCUCUCAACGAUUUCCGGGCCCAACACUUUUCGUUCACCAACUUCGUCCCAAUAUAGUGGCGAUCUACACUUUCUCCCAUAUAACGCUUCGUAUGGAGGCAUGCCAAGGGUCGUUUGAAAACUGUUGUUAUAUGCGAAUUCGAUCAAGGGCAGGUGAGUUUCCCAAUUGCCUCCAAUAUCCAUGACACUAGUUCGCAGCAUGUCUUCUAGAAUUUGAAUAGUUCUUUCAGAUUGUCCAUCUGUUUGAGGAUGAUAUGCUGUUGAAAAGUUGAGCUUCGUUCCCAUGGCUGCAUGUAAACUUUUCCAAAACCUGGACGUGAAUCUUGGAUCUCGAUCAGAAACAAUGGAUACUGGCACUCCAUGUAGUCUCACCACUUCUUGAACAUACAAUCUCGCCAAUUGGUNUCAAUAAUUCUCAUCGCGGUUUUACUCACGCGAAGCUAACUGGCUUAGUAAUAAAAUAAUAACCCUGCUUCAAUUAGAAUAUAAUCCAGUGUCAUAAGCUGAAUUUAAAUCAUAAAUAAUUACUGGACUUGAUUUACUGAAAGAUGAAAUAAUAAUUAUCGUAUUACUGGAUUUAAAUAUAAUAAAAGAGCGGGCUACUACAGUCGAUGAAAACUAUGACGAACUUGUCCAAAUAUGAGUGAAAAACACGAUUCAUCAGGUCCAUAAAUACCGCUGGAGCAUUGGUUAGACCGAAUGGCAUAACUACAAACUCAUAAUGACCGUAUCUUGUCCGAAAAGCUGUUUUAGGUACAUCAGUACCCUUUAUCUUGAGUUGGUGGUAGCCCGACCUCAAAUCAAUUUUAGAAAACACCUUUGCACCUUUCAAUUGGUCGAACAAAUCUUCUAUCCUUGGUAGAGGAUACUUGUUCUUGAUGGUAAGUCGAUUAAGCUCACGGUAGUCGAUACACAUACGCAUUGUCCCAUCUUUCUUCUUAACAAACAAGACAGGCGCUCCCCAAGGUGAUACACUUGGCCGUAUGAACCCUAUGUCCAAAAGCUCUUGUAGUUGUGUUUUCAAUUCCUCCAAUUCCUUUGGUGCCAUCCUAUAUGGUGCUUUUGAAACGGGUGCUGUUCCAGGCACUAAGUCGAUCGCGAACUCCACUUGCCUGUCUGGUGGUAUUCCAGGUAAAUUCUCGGGAAAAACAUCGGGGUAAUCACGUACCACUGGCACACUUUGGAGAGUAAGUUUUUCAUGUUCCUUGCCUACAAUGCUUACGAGAUAAGCCUCGCCAAAGCCUUUGUUCAAUAUCUUUAUCGCUUUCAUCGCAGAUAUCACCAUAGGCAUUCUUCCUAACUUUGAUCCUUGGAACGAAAAUUCUUUCUUUCCUGGUACUUUGAAAGUAACUUCCCUUUCGUGACACUUAAUUGUCGCAAAGUUUCGACUUAGCCAGUCCAUUCCCAAAAUCACAUCGAAGUCGUGCAUCUCUAUGAGGUACAAAUCGGCUUCAAACUUUCUAUUUCUAAAGUUCAAGGGAAUUCUCCGAGCAAUCCUAUUCGUUUUAAUGCAUUCUCCAGAAGGAACACUUAUGUUCAAGGCUAAGUUUUCUACUUCACAAGGGAUAUGAUUCUUUUGACAAAACUUAGCAGAAAUGAACGAGUGCGAAGCUCCAGAAUCAAAUAGAACAACUGCUGGUGUUCCAGAUAUGAGUAACGUACCAGUCAUUGUGUCAUCGUCCUCUGCUUCUUCUUGAUCAGCUAAAGCGAAGAAUCGAGCAUUUCCUUUCUUUUCUGGCUCUUUGCCUCCUCUUUUGUCUGGCCCAACAUUUUUCUUCCCUUCUAGCGCAUUGUUCAUCUUUUUAGGACAAUUAUGUGUAGUGUGCCCCGGUUCGUGGCAAAAGAAACAAACUCCUUUACCCCACAUGCACUCUCCAUAGUGAUAUUUUCCACAUUUCUGGCAUUGUGGUCUUGUCCCCGUUGUUCCUGGAUUAACGCCUCCACCAAACUUCGGCCUCUUAUCUUGGAAGUUUCCUCCGCCUUGAUUAUAGUUCUCCCACUUCCUUUUCAUAGGUUGAUUCGCUGGCUUUUGUGCAGGGAUGUUUGACCCAAGAGCAGUUGCCACCUCUUCGGCUCGCUUAACCAAAUCGCUAAAAUCUUCAAUUACAUGUGCAGCCAUAAUUCCCUUGAUGUCAUUUCUCAGUCCCUUUCUAAACCUAGCUAUCAUUUUGUCUUCUGUGUCAACUAGGUGUGGUGCAAAACGAGCCAACUCAUUAAAUUUUCUCUCGUACUCCUCUAUAGUCAUAUUUCCUUGUUUCAACUCAAAGAACUCGGUUUCCUUCUUUUCUCUGAAUGACAGGGGAAAGUAUUUAUCCAUUACUACUCCCUUGAAGAUUUUCCAAUUGAGAACAUUGCGAUCCUCUUCUCCCAACAGACGAUAGAAAUGUUUCCACCAUUGUCGAGCGUCCUCUUUAAGUUGAAAAACAGCACAUGAAACUUUCUGUUCCUCGGUACAGUUGAUGUGAGUGAAAAUCCGUUCAAGCUCUUCCAACCACUCUUCAGCUGCUAGCGGUCCAUCACGUCCAUUGAACCGUGGCGGAUUAUUGUUCCGAAAUCGCUCUACCGCUUGAUCUAUCGUGUUAGAGGUCUGGUUUAGGUCACGUUGUGUGGCCUGAGUUUGGGUUUGGUGCUGGACAAAACCCUGUAAAGCACUCAGAAAUUGACCCAUGAAGUCUCCUCCAUUAGUUGGAUGAGGUUGUUCUGCUUCUGCUUCGGAAUUGGUAUUUGAGUUCUCGGCGUGGUGGGAAUGUGCACGCGUAUUCCUCAUGGUUCUAUAAUCAAAGGCACUAUGACAUAAAUGAAAGAUUAUAAAACAAGGUUAUUCCUAAUUCGAGGACUAUGUUCAACAUGAAAAUUUUAAACUCAUCAAAACUCAAUAUCAUGCACUGUAAAAUUCCGAAAUAAAAUUCAUGGCUGCAAUAAUUUUCAACAUAAUAACUUGCAUACUGAACUUGAACUUUCUGAUAAUAACUUCAACUAUUGCAGCAAAAUUCAACAUAAAUUUCGGAAUAUAAACAGUUUAUACUCAUCCCCUUGAAAACUUUUAAAAUAACUUUUACCUUGAAGUCGGAGCGCGUAGUGGUCGAAUGGCUUCGUCACAAAUGACUUGAAAAUAUUUUAAGAAAAACAUUUUAUUUUGCAGAGUCUACAGGAAAGUAGACCUGCUCUGAUACCAUGCUGUAACACCCUAAUCUAAUUAAAGUGUUAAAUAUGAAUUUAAAUAAUUUUUGACAGCGAAAAUAUCAUAAAAUAAAGAUUUGGAUUUAUUUUCAAAUAAAUAAAUUUUUAAAUAAAAUAUUUGAAAUAACUUAAAAAGAAGGCCAGCCAUGAUAGGAAGCUAAUAUGAUAACACUAAACUCGAUAAGUUACACCAAAAUCUCAAGAGUAGUUUGAGACUUCGAAAACUGUACAAAGCAAAAGGUUAGGUGUAACUACAACAUUAUAUUUUCCAAAAAUAUUUACUUGACGCGCUCAUUCGAUCCUCUACGCGUCUCCAACCUUAGUUACCUGAAAAUGUUAAAUAUGGGAUGAGCAUAUGAAAUAUACUCAGUGUGGGAACAUGCAAUAAUUGUCCACGUUAAUAAAAUGGUCAACACAUAAGCACUGCACUGUAAUACUGAUAACUGAAAUUCGCACGGUGGCAUACCAAGGACUUUAAAGUCCUGGACCCAUUGAGUGGGCCCCUGGCGAAUAGGUUGCAACCCUAACUGUAACAUGAAAUCGCAUUGUGGCAUACCAAGGACGGUGAAGUCCUGGACCCAUUGAGCGGGCCCCUAGCGAUAUAACUGAAUUUACAACACAUAUGGCAAACACAUAAUAUUAAAAUGGACAAAAAUUACCACGGCAUGUACUGAAUAAAUCCCACACCUGUAACUUGAACUUGAAAAUUACUGCUAGAAAUGUAAAGUUCACGUUCCUAGUCGCGCCGCACCUAGUCAGAUAAAUUCAAAUAGUAACAUAAGGGCCUAAUUGAACUUUACAAAAUACCUUAAUAUAACUAAACUUGAGAAAACUAAUUUAUAAAAGUCUUUUCAAUAAAAUUUGAACUGAAAAAAAAUGAUUAAUUAAAUAAAUUAUAAUUGCUACUUAGAAGAGUAAUUAAAAUAAAAACCCAAUUGAUUAUUAUAAUUAAGGCCCAACCACUUAAUAAACUGAGCCCAAUUAAUUAAAACUAACCUAAGCCCAAGCCCCAAGCCCACUAUCAACCUCUAAUUUAAACUCACACCCAACUCCACUCCACACAUUCACACGCAGCUCACUCCCUCUCUCCCUUCCUCCCUCGGCCUUCUUCCUCUCGGCCUCUUGCCGCCGCACCUCCGGACGGCAGCGCCGUCAGCGCAGACCGGCGGCUCCGCCGCCUCUCCCUCUUCUUCCUAUCUCCCUCUUCCCUCACUCUCACUCCCUCUGUCCCUCUCCUCACCGCGUCUCCCCCUUCUCCGGCGACCCUCGCCGUCUGCCAGCACCUCCUCCUGGCCGUCAGCAGCGGCACCCUUGUCGCCGCCGUGUCGACAGCACAAGCCGGUCAGGCCGCCUUCUCCCUCUUCCUGAAAAGAGACGCACAGCCGAGACCAUAGCGCCGCCGCCCUGCUCCUUCCGCCACCACCCCCUGCUUCCUUCCGCCGGCCGCCAUGGCGCGCAGCGCCGGCGGUACUGCUGCUCAACCACCCCUCCCCCUGUUCUAAGCCACAACCCCCUUUCCAGUUCAUUCUUUCUAUUUUCCUUUUCUUCUUGUAAAGCAGUGAAUAUGCAUGUUUGAAUUAGAAAAAAAAUAAGAACUUUUGUGGGUGUUUGGUUUUGUGCAGAGAUGAACAACAGUAAAUGAAAUAACUUUGUAAAAUCAAUUAAAAUUUACCAGCUUGGAUUCUGUAAUGAGAGAUGGAAAUGGGUUUGUAUGCUGUAGGCGAAACAGACGAGGAAAAGGCGAAUUGGGGGACGAUGAUUUGAGGUUAAAUAGAGCUGCAAGAUUAAGUUUUUACCACAAAAAUGAAACGUGAGCUGCUUGUUCACGUAAGAAAAUUUGUGGAUGAUAAAGGAACCAAAAUUGUGGUUGAGAAAACUGGACGUGCUCCCCAAGCUGAAAAUGGAAAUGAGUGGGCUCUUAAUGUUGAAAGUAAAUUUUGAGAUAAGGCCCAAUAGAGAAAUUUGUAAUAUUCAAUUAUGGCCCAACUUUGAGCAUAAAAAUUUCAUUUGUUAAGUUAAUAAUCUGCAAUCUAAAAUUAUUUAUCUAACUAGGGGCGCGACUAUAUAAUUCACGAACUUGCUAUAUAAAUAUUCUUUUCAUGAUUUAAAAAUUAGUUAAAAUAUAAAUAAUGAAAUCAAACAAAUAUCCAGAUAAUCAAAUAAUUAAAUGGGUUUCGGGCUGUCACACAACUCCUACUUAAUCCUACUUCUACAUGCUAUUUUGUGGGAAUAACCCAUACUAAUAAUCCGGCCUCCCCCCUCGGAUAACUUUAAUACUGCGAAGUUGGAUAAAAAUUUUGCUACCCUUCCUCACGCAUAUCGAUGCAAAUGCUCAAGUAAUGGUGGACACACAUGAUAUUUUUAAAAUUAUAUGAGGAUAGUUUUGGUAUUAGAUAAUAUAAUCCAACAUAAUCCUAUGGAUAUCAAACACAAUAUAAGAUUAAGUAGCCAUGAUAUCAAACACCCAUGAAAUAAUAUAAAUCCACACUAAUCCACACUAAUUUCUCAAGAUAAUUUUAAUCCUAAUCAAUCCUAAACUGCAAAUCAAACGGCCCCUAACUUUCUUAGCAACCUUUACCUUAAAAAUUGUUUACAAUUUGAUUUUAGUGUCAAUGCACAAAUAAUAGGCAUUUACUUGUAAUAUUGUUUUAUUACAAUUUUAAUGUGUCACGUUCGAAGUAGAAGUAAAGAGUGAUCAUCGGUGCAUAAGGCACGGACAAAAAGUGGCUAUUGUUAAUGUUUUGAAGCAGAGGGGUGCAUGAACGAACCGACAUAUACCAGAAAGAGAGGGAUUCGAAGAAUAUACAGGUAUGAGACUGCAUAUUUGUGAAGAACUUAAAUAAUUUGAUAGAUGUUACUUAUAUCAACAAGAUGCAUCUUUUUUUCUAAUGACCACGUGAAAGAAACUCCAUGGUUAAGCAUCACUACUACAAAAACGCUCAUACAUAACGGAUAAAAUCCGUUAUCUAUGAGACCAAAAAACCGAUAAGUAUAGUGGUGAUAUCUAUGAUACUGUCAUACAUAACGGUAAAAAAACCGUUAUGUAUAGUCGUAUAGAUAACGGUAUCUGCGCUCAUACAUAACGGUUAAUAUCCGUUAUCUUUACAAGUGAUACAUAACGGUUCUUACCGUUAUGUAUUAUUGUUUUUACCGUUAUGUAUUAGAUAUAUAUAUUAUUUUUUUUCCUAUCAUAGUUAACUAGUUUUUUGUCACUUUUUAUUAACGGUUUUAACCGUUAUCUUUGAUAGAAAUACAUAACGAUUUUUUGCAUUUUUUAUAACAGUUUUUUACACUUUUUAUAACUGUAAUAUAUAUAUUUUUAUUUUCCUAUUAUUUAUCUAAAAAUUAAAUUAAUAAUUUUAAAACAACAAAUGACAUUGCCAUCGAUAACAUAUAUUAUAUAACAUCCGAAAUAUUCAUACAUUAUCAUCCAAAUAUAAUGAAAACAACACAAAUAUUCUAGUUAGCUAUAUGAUUAAUUAAAAAAUAUUACAAAUGCGCGCAACUUGCUAGACAUUUGAAACGACGUUCUCUGCUUCAGCCUUUCUCUUUUUGUAGUAGUCCUCAUAGCUCAUCGACUCCCAUCUACUUGAUCCGCCAAGAUGAUAAACUCAAUUACACUAAUGAGCUGGAGAAUUAAAAAAAUCCGACAACAUGUGAGUUAUAUCAAAUAUUGAUGCAUAGUAAUAUAACAGAAUGCAGAAUCUAAAUCAAAUUUGAUAGAUAUAUAAAUAUGAUGAAUGAUUUUCUCAAAAGCAAGACAUUGAUUUGGAUUCAAUAUUUUGGUAAAAGGUUUUACAGAAAACACAUAAGUAAAUCUUCAAGAUCUCAAAUAUUCUAUCUAUAUUGUAAAAUGAAAAGAAGAUUACCCUCACCAACACGAGCGAGUUCACCUGCAAAACAUAGCCAACCCGAGCUUACUUAAAUAAAAGAAUAUGAAAGAUAUUAACAACCUAAAUCUUUCUAUAACUACAUAGGUAGUGAUUCUGUAUUCUACAGCAAUACUCUUCAUUUUCAUAAAGCAGAUCCAUAACAUCUAUACAAGCUUCAAACUUCACAUGCUCCCCAACUUGGGCAACUGCCCUAAGUUAACCUAAAAAAUAAAAUUCCCCAAUUAGAAUUUACACAUUAGUUUAGAAAGCAGUUUCAAACUGAAGGGGCAGAAAGAACUCCUUGUUGGUCACGAAGCUUACUUGAAUUGAACAAGAAGCUCUUCAACUGAAGCAAAAGCAAUUUCGACAUGCCAAUCCCAAAUUGCAGAACCUUAAGAACUCGAUUACUUUACCAAACAGGAAAGUGAUCCAGAGAACAAAAACAAGUCAAAUAGUAUUAGAAAGAAAUAGCACAUCAAACAAUACCUGCAUUAGCACUAUCUCCUGCAGAUUUCUUGUUAGCCAUCAUGCUNUAGGUGCCUUCCAAUUACUUACAGCUUCAACCUUAGCUGGGUCCACCUCAAUUCCAUUUCCAGUCACCACGUGACCAAGAAAAACUACUCGGUCUAGCCAAAAUUCGCAUUUCUUAAAUUUGGCAUAAAGUUUUUCACUCCUCAAUGUUUCCAAGACGAUCUUAAGGUGCUCUUCAUGUUGUGCAUUAUCUCUUGAGUAUAUCAAGAUGUCGUCGAUGAAAACUAUGACGAACUUGUCCAAAUAUGAGUGAAAAACACGAUUCAUCAUGUCCAUAAAUACCGCUGGAGCAUUGGUUAGACCGAAUGGCAUAACUACAAACUCAUAAUGACCGUAUCUUGUCCGAAAAGCUGUUUUCGGUACAUCGCUACCCUUUAUCUUGAGUUGGUGGUAGCCCGACCUCAGAUCAAUUUUUGAAAACACCUUUGCACCCUUCAAUUGGUCGAACAAAUCUUCUAUCCUUGGUAGAGGAUACUUGUUCUUGAUGGUAAGUCGAUUAAGCUCACGGUAGUCGAUACACAUACGCAUUGUUCCAUCUUUCUUCUUGACAAACAAAACAGGCGCUCCCCAGGGUGAUACACUUGGCCGUAUGAAUCCUAUGUCCAAAAGCUCUUGUAGUUGUGUUUUCAAUUCCUCCAAUUCCUUUGGUGCCAUCCUAUAUGGUGCUUUUGAAACGGGUGCUGCUCCAGGCACUAAGUCGAUCGCGAACUCCACUUGCCUGUCUGGUGGUAUUCCAGGUAAAUUCUCGGGAAAAACAUCGGAGUAAUCUCGUACUACUGGCACACUUUCGAGAGUAAGUUCUCCAUCUUCUUUGCCUACAAUGCUUACGAGAUAAGCCUCGCCAAAGCCUUUGUUCAAAAUCUUUAUUGCUUUCAUCGCAGAUAUCACCAUAGGCAUUUUUCCUAACUUUGAUCCUUGAAAUGAAAAUUCUUUCUUUCCUGGUACGUUGAAAGCAACUUCCCUCUCGUGACACUUAAUUGUUGCAAAGUUUCGACUUAGCCAGUCCAUUCCUAAAAUCACAUCGAAGUCAUGGAUUUCUAUGAGGUAUAAAUCAGCUUCAAGCUUUCUAUUUCUAAAGUUCAAGGGAAUUCUCCGAGCAAUCCUAUUCGUCUUAAUGCAUUCUCCAGAAGGGACACUUAUGUUCAAGGCUAAGUUUUCUACUUCACAAGGGAUAUGAUUCUUUUGACAAAACUUAGCAGAAAUGAACGAGUGCGAAGCUCCAGAAUCAAAUAGAACAACUGCUGGUGUUCCAGAUAUGAGUAACGUACCAGUCAUUGUGUCAUCGUCCUCUGCUUCUUCCUGAUCAGCUAAAGCGAAGAAUCGAGCAUUUCCUUUCUUUUCUGGCUCUUUGCCUCCUCUUUUGUCUGGCCCAACAUUUUUCUUCCCUUCUAGCGCAUUGUUCAUCUUUUUAGGACAAUUAUGUGUAGUGUGCCCCGGUUCGUGGCAAAAGAAACAAACUCCUUUACCCCACAUGCACUCUCCAUAGUGAUAUUUUCCACAUUUCUGGCAUUGUGGUCUUGUCCCCGUUGUUCCUGGAUUAACGCCUCCACCAAACUUCGGCCUCUUAUCUUGGAAGUUUCCUCCGCCUUGAUUAUAGUUCUCCCACUUCCUUUUCAUAGGUUGAUUCGCUGGCUUUUGUGCAGGGAUGUUUGACCCAAGAGCAGUUGCCACCUCUUCGGCUCGCUUAACCAAAUCGCUAAAAUCUUCAAUUACAUGUGCAGCCAUAAUUCCCUUGAUGUCAGUUCUCAGUCCCUUUCUGAACCUAGCUAUCAUUUUGUCUUCUGUGUCAACUAGGUGUGGUGCAAAACGAGCCAACUCAUUAAAUUUCCUCUCGUACUCCUCUAUAGUCAUAUUUCCUUGUUUCAACUCAAAGAACUCGGUUUCCUUCUUUUCUCUGAAUGACAGGGGAAAGUAUUUAUCCAUUACUACUCCCUUGAAGAUUUUCCAAUUGAGAACAUUGCGAUCCUCUUCUCCCAACAGACGAUAGAAAUGUUUCCACCAUUGUCGAGCGUCCUCUUUGAGUUGAAAAACAGCACAUGAAACUUUCUGUUCCUCGGUACAGUUGAUGUGAGUGAAAAUCCGUUCAAGCUCUUCCAACCACUCUUCAGCUGCUAGCGGUCCAUCACGUCCAUUGAAUCGUGGCGGAUUAUAAUUCCGAAAUCGCUCUACCGCUUGAUCCAUUGUGUUAGAGGUCUGGUUUAGGUCUCGUUGCGUAGCCUGAGUUUGGGUUUGCUGUUGGACAAAACCUUGUAAGGCGCUCAGAAAUUGACUCAUGAAGUCUCCUCCAUUAGUUGGAUGAGGUUGUCCAGCUUCUGCUUCGGAAUUUGUAUUUGAGUUCUCGGCGUGGUGGGAAUGUGCACGCGUAUUCCUCAUGGUUCUAUAUUCAGAGGCACUAUCACAUAAAUAAGGGAUUAUAAAACAAGACUUUUCUAGGAAAAUGCUAGGUUAUUCCUAAUUCGAGGACUAAGUUCAACAUGAAAAAUUUAGAACUCAUCAAAUCUCAAUGUCAUGAACUGUAAAAUUCCGAAAUAAAAUUAAUAGCUGCAAUAAUCUUCAACAUAGUAUCUGCAUACUGAACAUGAAUUUUCUGAUAAUAACUUCAAUUAUUGCAGCAAAUCUCAACAUAAUUUUCGGAAUAUAAACAGUUUAUACUCAUCCCCUUGAAAACUUUUAAAAUAACUUUACCUUGAAGUCGGAGAGCGUAGUGGUCGAAUGGCUUCGUCACACAUGACUUGAAAACAUUUUAAGACAAAAUUUUAUUUUGCAGAGUCUACAGGAAAGUAGACCUGCUCUGAUACCAUACUGUAACACCCUAAUCUAAUUAAAGUGUUAAAAUGAAUUUAAAUGACUUUUGACAGCGAAAAACAUAAGGAUUUAAAUUAUAAAGAAAUUCAAAGAAAUAAAUUCCUAAAUAAAAUAUUUGAAAUAACUUGAAAAGAAGGCCAACCAUGAUAGAAAGCUAACAUAAUAACAUUAUACUUUAUAAGUCAUACCAAAAUCUCAAGAGUAGUUUGAGACUUCAAAAAAACUAUACAAGCAAAAGGUUAAGUAUAACUACAACAUUAUAUUUUUCAAAAAUAUUUACUUGACGCGCCCAUUCGAUCCUCUACGCGUCUCCAACCUUAGUUACCUGAAAAUGUAAAAUAUGGGAUGAGCAUAUGAAAUAUACUCAGUGUGGGAAACAUGCAAUAAUUGUCCACGUUAAUAAAAUGGUCAACACAUACGCACUGCACUGUACUGAUAACUGAAAUUCGCACGGUGGCAUACCAAGGACUUUAAUGUCCUGGACCCAUUGAGCGGGCCCCUGGCGAAUAGGUUGCAACCCUAACUGUAACAUGAAAUCGCAUUGUGGCAUACCAAGGACGGUGAAGUCCUGGACCCAUUGAGCGGGCCCCUAGCGAUAUAACUGAAUUUACAACACAUAUGGCAAACACAUAAUAUUAAAAUGGACAACAAUUAACCACAACAUGUACUGAAAUAAAUCCCACACCUGAAUUUGAACUUCAACUUGAAAGCUAAUUCUGAUAAUUCAAAUUAAAAUCCAUAUCCUAGUCGCGCCGCACCUAGUCAGAUAAAUUUAAAUAAUAAAAUAUAAGGGUCUGAUUGAACUUUAAUAAUAAUAAUAAAAAUAAUAAUAAUAAUAAUAAUAAUAAUAAUAAUAAUAAUAAUAAUAAUAAUAAUAAUAAUAAUAAUAAUAAUAAUUCUUUAGGAAAUUAUUAUAAAAUCCUUUGUAAAAAAAAUAUAUAUGCAAAUGCAGCCAUAAUAAAUAGAAUUAAGCCUUGGAGCCCAAAAUUAUAAACAACCUAAGGCCCAAGCCCACUCUAACUCUCCCAAAUUAAAACCCCAAUUUGAUUUUCAUACUCAAAACACACCCAUAUCCCUUCCUACGCAGCCACCUCCUCUCCCUCUAUCGGCUCCCUGCCGCCGCCACCGGACGGCAGCGCCGUCCCCGGAGGCCGGCGGCUCCGCCUCCUCUCUCCUUCUCUUCGACCUCUCCUUGUCUUCCCUAAACUCUCGCCUCACUCUGAUCCUCUCUUCAACCUCUCUCCCUCUUCCUCAAUCUCUUGCCUCCUCCCUUGCCCCUGUCCUCGCCGCACCGGCCGCAGCCGUGGCCGCGCCAUUCUCCGCCAGCCGCCGUCUGUUCCUACCCGACACCGCCCUCACCUUCUCCCCCUUCAGCCGACAACGUGGCCACCCUCGCCGCCCCGAGACAAAGAGCAGCGGUUGGUCAGGCCGCCUCCCUCCGUCCCAGAUUCGGCGCUGCUGCUGUACUUCUUCCUGUCUCCGGCUGCCGUGGCGCACCGUGCGUGGCGGCGCUGCUGCUGCUCACCCGCCCUGGCGCGCAGCGCCGACUGCACCGUUCCAGUCUUCCCCCCCCACUUCCUCUAUCUAUAUCCUUUUCCAUGUAAUUAAAAAAAGUAUUCUAUUUGAUUAUAAUAAUUAUACAGAAAUAGAAAUUAUUGCAUAUGAAUAUGAAACUAAAUAAAUUUACAAAAUUACCGAUGGAAGUUUUGCAGUGGAAAGAAAUAUAAAUCUGGUUUUUUUGUUGGAUUUGCUGGGUGAUUGCGAUGAAGAAGAUGAGAUAUACAUAUAUAUACUGGGUUGAAUUAUCGUGCAGCACAAGCUAAAAUAUGUGGUUGAGGAGUAAAAAUCGAAUUUGUGGCUGGAAGGGUGAAACCGUGGAAACAUAUUGCUGCUAAUUCAACAUUCUUUCAAAAAGAUCAUGGGUACUCUUAAACUUUAGCCCAUUAAGAAAAGGUAACAAAUUAAGGCCCAAUUUAUGAAGUUUAUGCAAAUAUUCAUUCAGCCCAAUUUUAACAUAAAAUUUGUAUUGCUAAGUAAAAAUCUGUAAUCUAAAAUUAAUUAUCUAACUAGGGGCGCGACUAUACCAUUUACGAACUUGCUACAUAAAUAUAUUCUUUUCAUGAUAUAAAAUAGUUAAAAUUUAAAUAAUGCAAUCAAACAAAAUAAUUAAAUAAUUAAAUGGGUUUCGGGCUGUCACAAAUGCAGUCAAACUUGAUGAUGUUGAACUUUGGCAUCAACGACUGGGACAUGUCAACUUCAAGAAUCUUCAAAAGUUGAUCACACAUGAUGUAGUUCGAGGCCUUCCUAAUCUGAACUUCAAGAAAGAUGUUGUGUGUCAACCUUGCCAGAAGGGGAAGCAACACAAGACAGCUCAUCCAAUGUUGUCAACAUGUUGUACCUCAAAAUGUUUCGAACUCCUGCAUAUGGAUUUGAUGGGACCCAUUGAAGUUGAAAGCUUAGGAGGUAAAUGGUAUGUACUUGUGUGUGCUGAUGAUUUUUCAAGAUACACUUGGGUUGAAUUCUUGAAAACAAAAUCUGAAACCUUUGCUCAUUUCAAGAAACUGUAUAAAAGGUUUAGAGUUCAAUAUGGCCAGUAUGUUGGAAGAAUUAGGACUGACCAUGGCAAAGAAUUUGAGAACUCUCUCUUUGAUGACUUCUGCACUAACAAUGGUAUUUUCCAUGAGUUCUCUGCACCCAAAACUCCUCAGCAAAAUGGUGUUGCCGAAAGAAAGAAUAGAACCAUUCAGGAAAUGGUGAGAGCUAUGUUGCAAGCAAAAAGUCUCUCCAAACGACUAUGGGCUGAGGCUGUGAGUACAGCAUGUCACAUCAUCAAUAGGGUGUACGUGAGACCAGGUACUAUGUUAACUCCGUAUGAGAUCCUUAAAGGCAAGAAGCCCAAUCUCAAGUACUUUCAUGUUUUUGGAUGUGUCUGUUACAUCUUGAAUGACCGUGAUCACCUCAACAAGUUUGAUUCCAAAAGUGACAAAGGUCUCUUCCUUGGAUAUUCUGUGAAUAGUCAUGCUUUUCGUGUAUAUAACCUGAGAACAAAGACUAUUCAAGAGACUGUUAAUGUUGUGUUUGAUGAUUCUCUUAGUCUCACUGAUAGAACAGAGGAUGAAGAUGUUACUGAGUUACUUGAGGAGCCCAACAACAUAAGCCAUGCUUCUGACCNAAAUAGAAUUUUAUAUUAAGAGUAUUACUAAAUACACUAUUAGUAGUAAAUAAAUACUAUAAAUUAUAAAAGUAAAAUUUGUGAAAAUUAUGUGUGGAGUAACGUACAAAAAUAGGGUGGACAUAAAUCUAAGGAACGUACCAAAAAUGAAAGGCAUGCGUAAAUAUGGGAAACAUAGAAUGUACAUGAAAUCACUGAAUAUUGGUGUAACCAAGUAACUUGUAAUACUUCUUCCAUCCACAAAAAUAGGUCAUAGUUUAUCAUUUUCGUCUAUCUACAAAUUAUAUAUCUAUAACCUUUUUUUGUUCUAUUCUAUUGAGCCACCUACUUAUUAAUUUGUGGGGUCCUAUCUCUCAUUAACUCUCUUACUUUUUUUAGUUUGUGGUACUAUUUCUCUACUUAUUAAAUAAACAAAUAAUUUUUUAAAACUCGUAUUGCCUUAUCUUAGGAUCUAUUUCGUGGACGAAUCUCACCGGAGUAAUAGUUUAUUAUUCCAAAAAGCAAAUUAUACUCCAGUCAGUUGAAUUCUCCUCAGAUUUUCAACCUAUAAACAAACACUUGUAGAUGGCUCACAUGGAUAAGUCUUACCACCGCGCGCGUAAAUUUAUUUUAAAGAGCUUAUAAAUUAUCAAAAUAUUUGAAUAAUUGAAUUUAUAGAUUAGAGGGAGAAUUUUGAUUUAGAGAUAAAAUAUUCUUGUUAAAUAGAGAAAAUAUAAGAGAAAUGGAAAAAUUGUAUGCAAUAGAAAUAACUUAUUAUAAUUGAAUAAUUAUUGCAAAUAACUUAUGUAUUGGAGAGUUUAUAAGUCGUUGGAGUUUAUUUUUAAUGGUUAUAAGCUAUUUACACUACAAAAAAUAAGCUAAUAGACAAGUGUUUAAAAUUGUAGUAGUAGGGGUCAAUAAUUCUUUAAUAAAUUAAUAUCCAACUAAUUUCAUAAAUAAUAAACACAAAUCAAAGUACACAAGUGUAACAUAAGUCUAAUAUUCAAUUGUCACUACGAUUACAAUAAUCUAGAAUAUUUUACAUUGUAUUUCAAAUCUAGCUAAAUCUAACAAUCAAAUUAUGCAACUAGCACAAAAAUAUAAUCAAUGUUCUUUCAACCGCCAACUUUUGCACCAAUUGUAUAUAACAUUUUUCCACUUUGCAUCCAGACUAGCAACGUCGUGCCUACAUAAUUUGAAGAAGACCAAAACAAUCAAAAAAAAUCUAAAUAUGAAAAGAAGAGUGGAAGAAGCAAUAGAAGCUCUAAAUAUGGUUACCUGCUCUCCAUAAUUCUGAGGGAGAGCAACCAAGUGAAGAAGGCUGGCUUCCUUUCACAGGAUCACAAAGUUUGCAUGAGCUAAUACAGCCUGAUCUUCAUCAAUCUGUAAAAGAUGUGCUCUGUUCAAAACAAUUUGAAUUGCUUGAAUUAAAAAUUUAAAUUAUGAAUCCUAACCAUAUUAGCUGGAUUAAGAAAUAACAGAACAUGCUCAAAACUUGAUAGUUUUUCAUUUCUACACACAUUGAAAUGGUGAGGCAGUAUUUUCCCAGUAGAUUUUGGCAGCAUCAAUGAUGGAUAUUGUUAGGAAUUGGCAUUUAGCAGACACUGGAAAUGGAUGACAAUUUUUCUUAAGCUUCUAAACAGCUUAUAAAUUAGUUAAUAACUAUUUCAAAGAGCUACUAAAUACUACUCCCUCCGUCUCACAAAAACGUGAGCAGUUUGCCAUUUUGGGGCGUCACAUAAAAACAUGAACAUUUCUAUUUUGGUACUCUAACUCACCACAAUUCCUUUAUUUUUCAUCUCUACUUUUUAUAAAAUGGAACUCCUUUUUCACUCAGAAUAUACUUUUAUUUAGCAUUUCUUAAAAUUCGUGACACUUACAAAUGUUCACGUUUUUAUGAGACAGAGGGAGUAGUUUACAAACUAGUACUAUUUUUAAAAAGCGUUUAAGCUCGUUCAAAAUAUCCUCUAAAUCAAGCCCUUCUCACAAUUUUAGUUAUUUAUAUUUAAUAUUUUACUCCCUCUCCUCCUGUCCACAAAAAAUUAAUAAUUUUUUGUCAUCUUGAGAGCACUCACAACGCCUACACGAUAGCCCCUACACGAUAGCGCUAUCGUGUAAGUGUGCUAUCGUGUAACCGUUGCGGGAGCACUUUACACGAGGGCUACACGUUCUAUCGUGUAGCCCAUUUUCUCUAUAGUGUAAGGCGCGUGUGAUGCACGCGCCUAUUAAAAAAAAAUCAAAUUUGAUCGUUGGCUGCCUCGUUUUGCGUGAUUUUGACAUUUCAAAUUUUUUUUUUCCUUUUUCUUCUAUUUAUUCUUCUUCUUCCUCAUUUUUUCCCUACACCCUCACUUCUUCUUCUUCAUCUUCUUCAUCUUCUUCCUUUCUUCCUCUCUCUACACCCCAUGGAUCCACACAACCCAAAUUACUAUGACCUAAAUUGGUGCCCCGAUCUAUCCGACGAUUAUCAUCCCGAUUUAUCGGGGUGUAACUUGGGGGAUGCUCCUCAGUCCGGCGAAGAGAUGCCUUCGGCAGCCCAUAGUGCCGCCAAACCGAAGAAAGGCAGCCGGAGGAAAGAAGUCGCCCACAAGAUCCGCCAAACCGAAUAAAUGCUCAAGCAUCGUGGUCUUAUCUACACUAGGAGUUUAAUUUAUGUAAUUUAUAUUAUGUUUUUAAUUUUUUUUAAUGUAAUUUUUAGGUUUUUUAUUUUAAUGAAAUUUUAAUUAUUAGUCAAAUGUGUUAUUUAAAUUUGAGCAAUUAAAUUUAAGUAAAAAAGCAUAAAAAUCAAAACUAAUUCUAUCAUGUAAGCUAUCAUGUAAUCCCACUGCAACAUCUUUACACCAUGUGGUCCCCCCAUCAUAAAGUAGGCUAUCAUAUAAGCUAUCUUGUAACCCCAUUGCGGAUGCUCUGAGAUAUGCACAAAAAUUAGUCUAUUUUCAUUUUUAGAAACUAUUUAUCAUGUGUUGGACCCUAUUUUCUUCCCACAGUAUAAUUAAUUAUCAUUAUAAACACUGUUUUUUAAGUGAGACUAUUUUUCCGUUCAUAAUACAAUAAUCAUUUUUAUUAAGAUUCGAAACGUUUUUUACUAUAAUUAUUUUUUGUGGACGGAGGGAAUAAUUCAUUCAGGUCUUGCCAUCUAAACAGAACCUAUAACAACAAAAAAGCCAAAAAAAAAAAACAAAGAAAAACAAAGUACUAAUUGAUUAAAAUAUCCCCAAUAAGAAAAAGCAGUGGAUCUUGACAAUGAGCACGGACUCGGUUGCUAACUCAUCAAGCAUCCGAGUUAACCCAGGCAUCUCUAUCUAAUUAUUCCAAUCUUUUCUUAAAUCUAUCACAGUUUCUCUACAUCCAUUUGCAAAGAUGAGAAGAAGAAAAAUCGGGAAUUUGAAGCUGAAGAGCCCAGUGAAACUGGUGUGCACGAUCGUCACCGUUUCAUUCAUAAUCACACAGAUCUUCACUGCGGUUAAGCUCAGAGGCAUACCUCGAUCGGCAAUUGCUUCAACCAAAACAGAAUCCCCCGCCAAACGCGCGAGAAUCGGCGAGUUCGGGGAAACGGUGAUUAAGUUGUUACCUGAGGAUCUGGCGUUCACGCUCUUCCUGCCGUCGGAGGAGGCGAUUCGGCGCGAUCUGAGGCUGAACCGGAACGAUAGCGAUGCCUACGCGGUGCUGACGCGGGUGCUGGGGUUCUCGUCGGUGCCGAGGUGGAUUUGGACCGCCGAUUUGGAGCGCGGAGGGCGGAGAAGCUACGAUUCGAUAUCUGGAUUGAGUUUGUCCGUGGGGAAGGAUUCGAACGGAAAUGUGGUGGUGAAUGGGGUGGUUUCAGAGGUGGUGGAUUUGAGAAUCGGGAAAACUGUAGUGCAUGUGAUGGAUGGGGUUGUGAUGGAUGCGGAGUUUGAGCAAUCGGUGCGCCCUGAAUCUGAUGAUGAUGAUGAAUUCGAUUAGUUUUUCUGUUUGCUUCGAAGUUGUUGCAGGGUGUGACCAUUGCUCAUCAAUCCGGUGCUCUUGCCGAGGAAGACUGCCGGAGUCGCCGCCGGCCAAGGCCGCGAAAUCACCUAAGAAAGCUGCUGCUUAGUUUUAGGCAGAUUGAGUUCAGCAAAUUUGAUCAAUUGGUAUGUGAUUUUUGGCAGGAAAAAAAAAAAUGGAGGUUGUAAUUAUAUAGUGCUAUUAAUUUUGAUUCAUUUGCAAGGUUUAGUUUUUAUUGGGUUUAUAUAAUAAAUACUUCGUCUCUUAUGAAAAUUUAUUUUUUCUAUUUUCGUGCUUUCACAAAAAUUGUAGUUUUUUUUAUUGUUAUUUUUAUUCAUUUGUAAAAAUUAUUUUUUUUCUUUUUUUAGAAACUAUAUCUCAUAUUUUAAAUACUAAAACAAUUAUUAUUUAACACAUCAACUAUAAUGAUCACUUUCUCCGCAUAAUUUUGAUAAGUUCAUUUUUCACUAGAAUUUUUGUGGAUGGAGGGAGUUUAAAUUUAAUUUCGGUGUGAAGAAUAAGGAUGCAAUUAUUAAAUAAAAUAAUUUAACUAUUCAUAGCCCAAAAUUAAAUUGGACCUCACGGGUGGGUUUGGGCUGGGCCUAUUAUUUUUCACAAUACUCAAUUUUCUGAUUUUUAAAACGGAAUUUACAAUUAUAGUAAUGGAGUUUUACACCAAACUUAUCAAAUCCCAAAUUUUUAAAAUUACAAAAAUAGCAGAAUUUGCCAAAUAACAACAAAUAAAUAAAAAUGAAAGCCUUGGCUUUUGUUACUAUCCAAAAGAUGUACUACUUGUUAGGUUAUUUCUAGGGAACCAAAAGGUGAGCAAAACACCCGAAAUUCGAAUAUCCGAAUUGAACAAACUAAACUUUAAAAACAAAUAAAUCCAAAAUCUAAAUUAUAUUUAUAAUAUACAUUUAUUUUGAAUACUUGGAUUUCUUUGUGCAUUUUCUAAAUUUACAAUUCAAAUCAGAUUUAGUCAUAAUAAAGUUGCCGCAUUUUAGGAUCAAUUUGAAUUAGGCAAAAAUUCAAACCAAAAUCCAAAUACUCACACCUAUUAUUUCACUAUCUAAUUUAUAUCGCUGUAACUGCAUAUGGUGGCAUCUUAACAAAGUGAGAGUAUUGUCUUACCAUAACAAAAUGAAUUACUUAAGCUCUUAAAACUGACAUGUUCAGUCAUUCCUAGAGCAAAAAUAAAAAAUAAAAAACGCGACAUUCCUUUUGUUAAGGUGCAUCAAUGGUUCAACCAAAUGGUUUGCUAAAAGAGAACUAAUUACUAUCUUAGUACAUAUAAAGUAAGGGUGGUAAGAGAGAGAGAGAGAGACUAUACGAAUAUUGUUACGAAUCUAGACGACUCUGGAUUUUCAAAAUUCACGCAAUAUUGAGGCAGAAACCAAAUACGAAUAUUGAAGACUAGCUCG
rnacentral:lncRNA from 1 species